UAGAAAAAAGAACUUAAAUCCCAAUCAGGAAAAAACAAAACCCUGAAUUUUCAAUAAUGCCCCUGAAGAAUGCGGAAAUCAAAAUGAAAAGCCGCCUUCGGCGCUUGGCUGUCAAAAAGAUUACAAAAGAGUAGAGACGACGAGUCCUCCGUUUUCUCUCUCUAGAAAACCGUCUCUCUUUCUCUCUCUACAAUUCUAAUUCUAAUCCUCAGUCUAAGGUUCUUGUGCCCUCAAAUUCUCGUCGUCUCUGUAUUCAAAUCCAUUUUCUUCUCCUCCAAGUUUUCUCUCAGAUCUCUCAGAAGCACUGAGGAGGCUCAUCCAUGGCUGGUCGAUACGAUAGUAACCCCUUCGCUGAAGAAGAGGAAGUCAAUCCGUUCUCGGUGAGUGUCUCUUCUUUCGAUUCUCUCUUGAAUUUGGAUGCGGGAUUUGGUUGUUUGAAUCCAGUCAAUUUUGGAUUUGAAGGUAGGUUGACUUGCGAUUUCUAGCUAGGAUGUGUGAUUUUGAUAGAUCUUAAGAUCUGCGUUUCUUUCGGUUUUGUGAUUUUCAGUGGAAUUGAAGUGAAUCGUGUUGAGUUUGUAGCUUGUUGAGUUUGAAUCAGUAGAAUCGUUCAUGGAUUUGAAAUUUUGAAGUCUGAGUAGUUGUUACAGUAUAGAAAUUGAUGAUCUGAAUCUCUAUGUGUAGAUAAUCAGUCAAGACUUCGUUAGAGUUGAUUGUAGAAACUGAUUUUUUUGUGUGGUUGUUGAUGAAUUGAAGCGUUGAUCGCUUUAGGUUUCGUUAGAAAUGAACACAAAUAUUCAAAAAUGGCUAGAAGAUAGUUUUCGUGCGAUAGAUUCGCGUUAUUCAAGCUUUGUGCAUCUUACUUGGUUGCCUAUGAUUGUUAGAUAUCUUUUGUAAAGUCGCCGCGUGGACUGUAAACUUUUCAGGCAUGGAAAACACCGACGGUUGUUUUGUAUGUAGAAACGUAGAAAUUGUGCUUGUUUUAAUUUCUCCUGUUUGAGCUCUGAUGCAUUUCUGUUGCCAGAAUCAUGGAAGCGUUGCUCCUGCCAAGAACUCGAGACUGUCACCUCUGCCUCCAGAGCGUGCUGGUUUCAAUUAUGGUAUUGGUGAAACCGUCGAUAUACCUAUUGAUGGAAGUGGGGUGAGUUUGAAUAGUAAGGUUGUUAAUCAGACUACUUGUAUUUGGCAUAGUGUUUUUCUAAUUUUAGUGAUUAUUAUUUGAUUUAGGAUUUGAAAAAGAGGGAGAGGGAACUCCAAGCUAAAGAAGCUGAACUAAGAAAGCGUGAAGAGGUAUGACUUGAAAGAAAUUCUAAACUCUGUUUGCAUGAUUAUUACUCAGCUGUGGAGCACUGAAGUUUGUUGUCCUGGUCAUAUUAUUUUUCUUCUUUUAAUCAAGAGACUGAAGUAUUUCUAAUUUCCUAUCAUGAUUCUACAUCGUCCAUACAAUACAAAUUUAACCUUCUAUUUUUUGGUGCUUGAUGUAGGUUGUAAAACGGAAAGAAGAUGCUGCAGCACGUGGUAUAAUUCAUUGCCUUUAUUUAAAUGUAUCUCCUUUUGUAAGAAUGUCUGCAAAACCUUCUCUAAAGAUGUCCUCUAAUAGUUAAUCACCUACAUUCUUGCCAUGCUACCUUUUCUUUUGCAGCUGGAAUUGUUCUCGAGGAAAAAAAUUGGCCGCCAUUCUUUCCACUCAUCCAUCACGAUAUUGCAAAUGAAAUCCCAAUUCAUUUACAAAGGGUGCAGUAUGUCGCAUUUAUAACAUGGUUAGGUAUGUCAACUGUUGCUUAAUUUAGACAUCGUUUGAUAACAUAUGUCAGAAUUCUGAUUGCAUGCAAUUAAGAAAAAGAAUUAAGAUGUACAUGGUGUUUGGCCUAGUAACAUGGUGUUGAGGCCUCAACUUUGAUGAACUUGAGCUAAUAAUGGUCAAAUAAGAUACUGAUGCAUAAAAGUUCCUGUUAUUCGAUUACCGUUAGAUCCUAGCAUCACUUUGGCUUCUGCUAUAUUGAUUAGGUUGUCAGAUAGACUGUUUAAAUUGGUUUAUGUAGUCACUUUCCAGCCCUCUGCCCGAAAUACCAUAACUUUUGACUAGAUACUGAAGACUGUCGACAUUUAUUGAUGAAUGGUAUGUUAUGCAGGAAUUAUUGCUUGCCUAUUCUGGAAUAUCAUAGCUGUGACCACUGCCUGGAUCAAGGGUGAAGGUGUGUAUGAAGCUAUUCCUUGUGUCUCUCCUGCAUAUGCUGGAGUAUGGUGAAAUUGAUUAUUUUCUCUUUGGUAUAGGGGUGAAAAUAUGGUUCCUUGCGGUUAUAUAUUUCAUUGCUGGGGCACCUGGAUCUUAUGUGCUGUGGUACCGUCCUCUUUACCGUGUGUUCAGGUAUUACAUCCUCUUAGUGGUAAAUUUGGUUGUUGAUAUAGAUUGGCUUUAACUGCGAAGCUCUAGUAUUUCCCCUGUAAAUAAACCUCAAAGAAAUUGCCUGAAAUACUAUACUAAAUUCUGUUAGUUAUGACUUAUGAGCAAUCAAUGUGUUCCACUGGCUGCAUGUUUCAAACAGUAAUUUGUGCAUUGUAGAAUACUCUAUCCCUUGACAAUAUAUGUUAAUGCGGAUGUAAUUUCUGAAAGCAAGUGGAAUAAUGCAUUAACUGUUGAAUAUAUUGUUAGCUGCACUAUUGAUUGGCUUUCAUUUAAUCUUAUUGCAGGUCUGAGAGUGCUUUGAAGUACGGAUGGUUUUUCAUGUUCUAUCUGGUAACUCUAUCUCAGAUUUGUUAUUAUAGUAGGUUUGCAAUUUAAACCUGGAAUUUUAGUAUACCCCACGUCACUUAUAUUUUUCUUUUCUGUACAGUUUCACAUUGGCUUCUGCAUCUUUGCUGCGGUUGCUCCCCCUAUAAUCUUCAAAGGAAAAUCUCUCACGUACGUCCUAAGAAUUCUUUAUUUAGUUUUACUGAAUUGCACAGGCCUAUUAUCUCAGACAUGCUACAAUACAGGUCGCCAUAUAUUAGUUCCUAGUUAUAUACGCAGUUAAAAUUGCAUAAGAUAAUGUUGUAUAGUGGAUGCUUCUAAGAAACUAAACUUGGGAAUUCCCUUAAACAUGGUUUGAAACCUUUUAUUUUCUUAUCCUCUACUUAUGACGACCUGUUGUGUGCUUUUGGAACAGUGGUAUUCUGGCUGCAAUUGAUGUUCUGAGCGAUCAUGCUUUGGUUGGGGUAAGACAUAGAAUUUCACUUAUUAUAUGGCUGUCCAUGUACCCGUAACUCCUUUUUCUUUUAAGGGAUAUGUGGCAUUAUAGAAUUCUUAACCUAUGACGACGGUCAUGUACAAAACUUAUAAGCAUAUCAUUUUGUACUUUGAUAUUCAUGUUAUAGUACUACAAACUGAUAGCUGAUACUGUUUUACUCUUUGUACAGAUCUUCUACUUCAUUGGAUUCGGCAUGUUUUGUCUUGAAUCAGUGCUUAGCAUCUGGGUUAUUCAGGUCUUUGUUCUCUCCUUUGACAAAAGGACAUGCAAUAUCUUGUGUUCUGUUGCUGCAGAGGUUCCUGGUUUCUUUUUUAACACCCCUUUUUCUCUUUACAUGUGCAGCAAGUAUACAUGUACUUCCGGGGAAGUGGUAAAGCUGCUGAAAUGAGGCGGGAGGGAGCAAGACAUGUUGUGAGGGCAGCAAUAUAAAGGCAAAGAAACAUGUAAUCAGAUGAAAAGAUGGUGACUCUGUAUUGAUCUAGGUUGUAUAUGCCCUUAGCUACAGGAUUUGCGGAUACAGAUGUUUUACCCGAGCUUUUAUUUUUUGAUUUGUACCCCCUUUUUCACAAAUGAUUGAACUACCUCUGUUAGUAUAUCAGUGCUAUUGAAACUUGAAUUCAGGGCUUGUUAGAAACACGUUUUCUGCACUUUGCUGUUUCUAAGAAUUCUGUAAUAGAGUUUAAUUCAUUUCUGGUGUAAUGUUUUGGAAUUACAUCUCGGGUUACAUAGUCGAGUAAUUCUGAGAGCUGUAACUUUAAUGUUCAUCCAAUUGAUCCGUCUCGCCAGAUUGUUCCAAAGCUUUCAAACCAAUAAUUACAGCGGAGAUUAUAGCAUCAUAUUAGUUUGAUACGAUCACCUUUCACCAAAAUGCAAAGCUUCUGUGUAUGAAAUUGCUUUCCUCAAGUCACGAAACAUGUUGGCUAUAUCAUACAACAAUUUGGAUGGGAAGGGCCAAAUUAGCAGCUUGGUAUGGCAUUUGCCCAACUAUAGAAGACUUGCCUCAAAUGAAGUAAAGCACACAUCAAUAGAUAUGGGUUCUCAACACAACCAUAACACACCCAGCCAAACCCUAAAGCUGUAUAUAUAGAACACAAAGAAAACCCUAAAGCCACUCCAUUACCCAAGUAAUUCUUUAUUUUAACUAAAUAGAUUAGAGAGGAAGUGACUCGGUAAAAACAUAGAAUAGUCUCAAAGGAACUACUACAAACUCGUGGAUUCUAUAUACUACUAGCUUGCACCAUAACGACAGAGGGACAGACCAGCCAAUACUCCUCUAGCAGUAAGCAGUACACUUCUUGCAGUCGAUGGUGCAACCACCGCCUCCGCCACCGCCGCCGUAGCCCUUCCCCGAGUGGCUGUAGGAGGUGAAGCACUUAGCAGGACACGUCAGCUUCUUGUUGAAGCAAGGACCCUUUUCUUUGCACACCUGAGUGGUCCUGACUAUACCACCUUUGGAGGAGCCUCCACUCGGACCGCCGUACCCGCCGCCGUACCCACCUCCAAAGCCCUUUCCAAACCCGGGUAUGUCAAACCCGGGCCCAAAGAACCCUCCCAUGCCACCAUUGUUGCCACCUCCAUUGUAUCCACCAUUGUUUCCCCCACCAGCACCACCACCUUUGUUCUUGUUGCUCGAGUGCUUGAGCUCAGCUGAGAAGGCUCCGGUGGAGGAGUCGGGUCGAGCUGAGAAGCCAGCAAGUGAAGCAGCGAGGAUCAAAGUAAGCAAGAGAAGACUUGUAGUUGGGAUCAUGUUUGGUUUGUGGGUGUGUGAUGAGAUAGAAGAGAAAGGUAGUAUUUGUGAGAAGGGGUAUAUAUAGAAGUUUGAAGUGGAUAUAUAUGAUAGUGGGAAGGAAAAGGAUAUUAAUGGAGGAGGAGGAUGUGUUGGAAGACAGUUACAGAGGGUGAGUAGGUUGGAUGCAAUUAGUAUCCUCUUGAAUAUUUUUCCUCUCUUCAUCAAAGUUUGACACAUUAUAAGUUUGGUAACUCUUACCCACAACUUUUUACAUGAUGAUAAUAUUGAACAUUGGGAACCCACAAUAUAAUGAGAUAUACACCAAUGUAGACCGACUUUGAUUUUAGAUUAGUUCCAUUUUCAUGCAGUAGCGACAAAGAUGCAAUUAGAUUGUGUCAUCUAUGAUAUAUAUCCAUCCAUCCCAAUAAGUUUCUUAUAUUAUGGUUUCUAACCUAUUUUAAGGAAGCUAAUUUCGUGACGGGAUCAGUUGAGAGUUUUCAGCAUUCUAAAUUUUUAGUCUUUGAUCUUGUUUCACUGUCUUUUCUCGUGUUCCCAGCUUUUCAUUUAGAUCAUCUAAGACGAUGAGUUCUUAAAAAUUUGUAUCCUCGAACAUAAAAUGUUAAAUUUUUAAGGAUUGCUAUGCAUAGUUGAGUUAGAAUUAGCUGUUACAAGAAUCAUAGAAAUAUCAAGUUAAGCUAGUUUUUAGACAUGAAAUAAAUGAGGCCAUCUUCCAAUCUGCAAACUCAUUUAAAGACGACGGUGAAACUUAAAGUCAUGACCACAAUCAAGGCAGGUACGUACAUCUGCACUUGUAGAGAAGUUGGUCAGUGCUCUUAGUGGUUCACCAUGUGUGAGUUGAGCUUUGGUUCCCCAGAUCUUUGAGAUGGUCGACCUAAUAAGUCAGCUUUGCUAGCAUCCUUUUCAGUUUCAAUCAUAGUUGUAGGGUUGGAUAUAUACAGCUUCAAGCGCAUAGUCUACGCAUGCAAGUCCCAUAUGACAAAGCUACAAGCACUAGCUAGGACGAUUGUUAAGACAAACAUAUUGAAGGAUUUGGCUUCUCUGUUUGAAUUUAUGUUAUUUGGAUUUGUUUAGAUGACUUCUAACCAUUUAAUUGAGUACAAUCUAAAACCAGCAUGUCAUCCUUACUCUAUCUAAUGACUAUAAGACAUGCAAACAAAUCUAAACAGAGAAUCCGGAUCUCAUAUUCAAACCCCUAUGGCCUAACUUGAUAAACAAACAACUAUCGCACCCUACAGUUUUAAGUCGUGGGUGAGUAGCUAGCCAGGUAAUACUCUCUCUCACGUGCAACCUUCUCAUGUUCACUUUGUUAGAGAGCAUCAUAUGUAGUUUCAUGCUGGAGAAUGCAAACUCGCUAUCUCUUCUAAACAAAUAUCUAAUACCAUACAGUCAGAUGAUCCGAAGAUGAUUCAAACAUAUAUGUCAAGAUAACAUAGCUAGUGUUGUAUAUUAGAUUAUUACUCAAUCAAAGCACGCAAGUAAUUAGCACUUAAGUCUUGCGUUUGCCAAACUCCUAGUGCAGUCGUGCAGACCUAUCUACUUUUCAACUUCCAUUGAUGAGUUGCUUCUUUAUCAAUAUGAAUAUGGUCCAAUGGUACCUAUUAUUUGGACCCAUCCCUACCCUAUUAAAGUUGAAUCCCACUUAUUCUCCUCGUAGUGAGGCAUAUAUGCCUAUAGGAGAGUUCCAAGAUUUUUAAGCAAGUGAAACAACUUUGUUAAACUCUUCCUUUUGUUGCUCAUCACAAAUUGAUGCAGUAACUAAUUCCAGAAAAGCAAUAUGUUCAUGGGAUCAUAUUGUGCUUAUGGUUCUAGUAGUUUAUUAUAAACAAGCAAUACUACACUAUACGAAAUUACGAACUGGCUAAAGUGAAUGUUUAGAUCCAAUUUCUCUCAAUUUUGUGAAGUACAGACUGUUUUUCAUCGUUAGAUUCGAUAAGUAUUGUUUGGAAAACUUCGAAAAAAAGAUCUGUUGAUGAGUAUCCGUGAUCUUGAGUUCUUGACAACCAGGCGUAUAUAGCUGGUUGAUCAAGUUGUUAACAGGAGGAGCUGAGCAGCAGUGAGAGCCAUUAAACUCUAGGGCCGACCAGUUGACAUUUGAGUCCAUACGAUACAGGUAUGUCUAUUAAGGAAAAGAGUUAUUUUGCAUCUAACCAGUUAGUGAUCUCAAUCUUUCUUCACAACCACUUUGCUUAAAUCCAUCUGGUAUUAAAUAUCGAUUUGGACAUGGAGCUGCUCUGGAAGUGUUUUGUAUAUAGGUAGCUUUGUACGUUAGCAGUCCUUUCUUAAUCAAUAGAAGCUCUCAAAGUCAAUAAUUUCGUGUCAGUUAAUAACAUGUAUGUCUUCAUUCUUCAAUAAAUUCUUUGCUGAGAUGCAGUGUAAAAGCAUUGUCCUUGUCACAAAUCUGAGUGAACUGUUUACUGCUGAGUUGCUUACCAGGGUUACAUUUCUGAUCCUGAUUUACAUAACAAGGAUGUGAAGAGUAAAAAUGGAAUAGAUCAGUAGAAGAAUUUGCAAGCAUUUCUCCUUCAGUUUAUCAAUUUUGUUUGUUUGGAACUUGGACUAGUUUUUUUUGGUUCAAGAUCACAAAUUUAGGGUUCCUAAGCACUUCCCGCUUUCAGGUGCAGUCUCCUAAAAGUUCAGUUAAUUGACUCCGGAAACCAAGUACCGAUUAGUUUUCAAGGGAGGUGAUGUUUAAGUAAUAUUAUAAACCAAAAUUAGAAACAUGAAACCACUAAUAUACAAUGCGCCUCUCAGAUAAUGCAAGGAGUUAUGUGCAAUUUUAUGUUAAGAGUAGCAGGAACUAUAGACUAGAGGAGUCCCAGCUAGCAUCAACAGCCCUGAUGAUCUUGUCAUGUAGGUCUGCUCCGGCACUAGCAAUCACACCUCGAUCAAGACCUUCCAAGUAUAUACCUUUUGAAAAGUCCAGUGGACGCCCCCCGGCAUCUGAAACCACACCCCCAGCCUCUUGUAUGAUGACAACGCCGGCUGCAUGAUCCCAUAUCUUCUCUUUGUAACCCGCCUUUGCAAACUUCAUAAAAAUCUCGGCAUCCCCACGAGCUAUAGCUGCAUAUUUUACCAUGCUAUAGACUCUUAAUGGUUGCUUCCUGCAGUCAUGACAAAAACUAUUAGUCAAAGGACUGGUGCAUUUUAUCAUAACAUAAUUUCAUCUGCAAUCAUGUUAAAAGGGACUCAACUUAACGAACUGUUUUAAUGGUUAUGAAUCACAAUGCACAUACUGCCUGUAACUAUUGUUUGACAAUGAGUAUAUAUCAAUAUAGUUCAUGUGAGUGUGCCUUCAAAUUCAUGACAAAUUUUGGUGCACAUAUGGCAAAGAGAACUGAAAUCAGAACUUACGUACCUAAGUCCAACGCUGUGAGCUAGUCCUGCUGUGAAGGAAUGACUUGAAUUUGCCUUCUCAACCGGUUCACAAAAGGUUGCCAAUGAUGGAUUAUUGAUAGAGGACACUUGGACCAGUUUUGCAGAGUUUGGCCACAGAAACUUCUUAUUUACAUGGAGCAGUGGUUGCAUCCAAGCUUCACUGCUACCUCUUCUAGCGUAUAACACACAGCCCUUGUCCCAUGAUUCUGAUGUUGGUGGGGUCAAUUUGGAUAUAAUUCUAUGAUACCUGUGAUGAUAGUUUAGCCAUUCUCUUCGCAUUGGGUAAUUAGGGCAUCCAAGAACUCCAAGCACAACUUCUCCAUCCUCUAUUAGAGCCAGAGCAAUAGCAUAUUGAUCCCCUCGUACAAAUCCCAAUGUUCCAUCAACAGGGUCAAGAGCCCAAAAUCGCCCAGUAGGGCCUCCCGUUGAGUUGCACCGACUGAUGGCUUCAAGAACCUCUUUAGUCCCAAGGGUCUUUUUAGGACCUUGAAGUCCAAAACGAGGAGCUUCAGCUAGACAAACAUUUACAGUUUUUACUACUGCUUCCAACAUUCCAGCUGCCUUAGCCUUGGACAGGUUUUGAAUGUCUUCUUCAGCUACAAUGGAUACAUUGCUACUUCCAAAAGACUCCGACAGUAUCCAGCUCACAGUUGCUUGGACACUCCAAUCUGUUAGCAUAUUAUGAUCAAGAUUCAAGAGAAUAAGACACAAAAAAAUGCCUAUAACCUCCACUUUAACUAAAACUGAAGUAUAAAAAACUCAGAGAGAUUUCUCUUAAAACAGAACAUUGUAUAAGGGUGAACGUUACUACAUAAGGCAACAAUCAACGAAAUGAUAACCAUGAAGCACUAAUCUCUAUAAUGUAAUCAUUUGAGAUGUAAUCAUUUGAUUACACACUAACCACAGGUUUUAGUAUUUCUCAUUUAGAACUCCAGCAUAAAGUGAAAUACUUUAUUGUAAACUAUUUUCUUUAGAGAUGUUGAAAACCAUGAACCAGCAGUGACUUCCUAAGAGGAUUACGAGAAGUUAGUACGGUUUCUGGAGGCUGAAUUUUGUUCAAAUUUUCAAAGAUGCUAAAUUUAAAAGACAAACUGGGAUAAUUUUCCUCAUCAGGAAUCUACGUUGAGCAGCCAAACAGCAAUCAUUAUAAGUCCAAGACAGCAAUAUAUGAGGUUCUGAACAAAUAGCCGAGUUCCAUAACAUGAUACAGAGAGAUGCUAUGUAUAAGUUAGAGACAAUGGCCGACUUACACAAAUUUUGACAGAAAAAUUAAGUUCAUGCAUCUAUUUCAUCUUAAGGACAGCAGCAAGAUUGCUUUUGAAGGUAGAAGUUGCCUAUACGCGCUGUCCAAAAUCCAAAUAGUGCCUUCUAGUAAAUUCUUCACAGUAAAAUGUCAAGAAAUGCAUAGGCACUAAGAUUCAAUGAACUUUGAUCCAAUAUGAAUUUCCUUUGUGUCGGUCCAACAUUCAUACAUUAUAAAACAGAAGAUUAAAAUCAAUGCUUUAGAAAGCAGGCAUCUAGAUGCUCCAGGAGACAAGGCAGGAGACAAGGACUAGCUUGGUUUUAAUUUAUUCCCAUAUACUAAAGUUGCCACUAGGAAACCACCAAACAGAUGCCCAAGAUCAUAUUUUUAUUUCAAUUUUCAACCAUUCAAAGCAAAAUACAACCAUUCAACAUAAACAACCUUCAAGUAAAGCAAAAUACAAUUCAAAGCAAUACAUCACAUGCCAAUAUUAAUCAUAUUAUUGAAGAACAAUUUCAAAAACCCAGAAAGGCAAACAUCCACAUAAUCAUGAUCACAGAAAAACCCAGCUCAAAACAACACAAUUCACAGAAGAAUGUAAAAGUGAAGAAACAAACCUGCAACAGUGACUGGAGAGUUGUCAUCUUUGGAUUGGACCACAGCGCCGGACUUGGAAACCAAACUGUCCUGAACUUUCUGGCAGAGAGAACAAGCCAUUUGCACAGCUCUGACUGCAAUUUCCAAAUCAUGGGUUGGUUGUAGGGAUGAAAGACUCGACCUUUUUGGGUCCUCCAUUACUGUGAAGGACUGGGUUUGGGUGAGCUUGGAUAAGCAACCAAUUGGUUUUGAGAUUUUGUGGUGGGGGAUUUUGUAGAAGCUAACUGUCCCUACGUGGUCGGUUAUGAACUUGUGCUUGUUAUUCCAUUUCACAAGUCCUAGAUUGUGAGAGGCUUUUAUAGCCAUAGUACUAGAACAAUGUAAAGGCAUAUCAUCAAUGAGAAGAGAAAAGUAAUCUGAGUUUGAUGUGUUUGUGUUUGAGUGUGGUUUCUGUGAUUUGUGGGGUGCGCUCUUAUAAAAGGAAAGAAAAAACGUAUGCAAGAGAAAGUUUUGACAUCAUAAUUGGAACUCACGCUUUCUUUUUAUGUCAUUUGUUUUUGCCUGAUCUUGGAACAAAAUUAAGCCAAGAACAAGUUGAAGCAAAUAAGGGAAAUCUUUUGUAUUAGUGUAAGCUAUUUUUUUUUUCUUCCUUAUCGUGACUCUAUUUUUGUGUUGCAAAUGCUGAAUUUUGUGUUCAAUUUUUUUUAUUUAUGACCAAAUUCUGAUGCAAUUCUUUGUCUUUAGGCGGUCGGUGGAUCCGAUCCGAUUCACUAUUUUUAAGAAAACUCGCGGUUGGAUUAGGUAGAAUUUUUGGUAUUAGAAUCGCUGUGAUAUAUGUGAAGAGAAUACUAGCUACUAGAUCAAUAGUUAAACUAAGUUUUUUGAUCAAAGAGUAGUGUUCGAGGUCAUUAUGAACUCAUCAAGGCGUAUGCAAGUUUUGGCACUACCUGAGGGAUUCUCAAAUUGGCAUGAGAUUGUUGGUCAAGUGGCUUAUGAUCUUCAGGUCGAUAGAAGAUGUUAUCCUCACUCGAUCGAUCACCUUUCCGUCUGUUUUCGGUGGGCAAGUGUAUUCAUCCAUCAUCUUCCUAAUCAUGACCUUCAUGAUCGAUUUUUAUCUCGAUCUUGUGGAUUUUUAUCUUGAUUAGGAAGUGUAAUCCGUAAGUGAUUCUACCACUUUUGGAAACUGGUGCUCAAGUGAGUGUGAUUCUACUAUUUUAAGAAGCUGGUACGGUGCACAAUUGAGUGGAAGGACUUGGGUCCCGGAUGGAGCACAUCUCUUCAUGAUCAAACAGAUUGGAUAGGAUCAAGCAGCCAGACAAAAACCCAGUGCAUCGAUCUUCAUAUUAUUAGUUUGGGAUGACUUCAAACAUUACUUUUAUAUCAAAGACCACAUAUGAAGUUUGAUACUAUGCUUCUGCUGGACUACUGAAUACGAGUCAUAAGACUCAGAAAUUCAGAAUGUAAAUUUAGUCGCUUUCAGUCUAGUCCAGAUGAGUGAGAGGACCAAGGUUUAAAAUACUAUCUAAUUGCUCGGGGUGGAAUUUCAAGUCCUUCGAACAACCGUCCUGUGUGGAUGGUGUGCCCCCCUCCUGCCUACUUUCUUUGUAAUUCUGAAAGCUAGAAGAGGAAAUAGUAUUAGUAAUCGGUACAUGCCGCAAUUAACAAACAGAUGGCAUAUAUUCUGCAACUCCUUAGGAUAAACAGCGAGCUCAACUUCAGCAUCUAAUGUUUAACCAGCGUGUGUUGUAGCAUCUCCUUCACUCCUUGUUCCAUGUUGUGUUACUAGCUAGAAGAACAUUGAGAAUUUGAGAUCACGGCAAAUCAGUAGGAUUUCAAACAUUUUCAUUCUUCUCUUUUUGUCUAAAGAUGUUUCUCUGAAUUGAACGAUCCAGUGUACGUACCAAACCAGAUUUCACAUAAUAUUUUCUCAAACUCAACUUUUCAACGAAGCAACAGUAUUUUGAUGUAAUAAUCUAUACCAGAUUACCAGGGCAAUAGUUUUAUGAUGCAACAAUCUUUAUUGUACAUACCAAAAUCAUAAUCAUAAUCUUAAAUUAUCACAUAAAAUGAAGUCUUUAUUGUACAUACCAAAAUCAUAAUCAGAAGUAGAAUAAUGAAGGCACCAGAUAGAAAAGCUACCACGAGGUAGCCCAUUAUAACUAACUAGUUUACUUCGUCCGAGUUGAAAGUGUAUUGAAAUAGCAUCAGACAUCUCCUCUCUAACACUCCCUCUCACGUGCAACCUAACUUUUAGGUCUGCACGUGAAACUGAUUAACAAACUUGAACCCGGCCCCCAAGACAACUGAAAGAACCCUAACCUCUCCAUAACAACUGAAAGAACCCCAAACUGAAAAGAACCAAACAAGGGCCAUGAACCUUAAAAGAACCAACCCAGACUCAUUAGAGACACAACUGGAAAAGGACCCGCUCUGAUACCAUGUCAAACAGCGACAAACGUGACCUGUGAAUCAUUCUUGUACCGAUACUGUCUCAACUUAACCACUUUUAAAAUGUUGGGUUUUAAUCACAAAAUGUCUUGGUACAAUUAAGAACGAUCCACCCAUUUAUUAGUUAUAUUUUAUUUGUCACUUUUUCAAUAUGAGAUCUCUCCUCUCCAACACCAUGAGCUUAUGAGAAGAAGUGUCCAGCACCUGGUAUCUCAUGGUCAGGGGCGGAGGUAUACUCAGGCCUGGUGGGGUCCGGACCCCUGCCAGGUCUCCCACAUAUUCAGUCAGAAUAUGUAUAUUUUUAAUUAAAUAAUUAUAAUUAUAUGUAUAUAGAAAGGUUGAACCCCUCUUAGAGUCUGAGUGUCAGACCAACUAAGGAGUCCACACAUCCCAGAGUCCCACGUUCCUCCCCCCACUCCACCCCCACACACGUGAUGAUCUUCUUUUUAUAUAAUAAAAAAAACCAUAAUUAAUAUAAAAAUAAGAUAAGGAAGUGAAAAUAAUAUUAAGUAAAGAAUUCUAAUGCUUUAAGGACUAGAUGUCCUCUAUAUUUUUUUGUCACAGACUUCCCUUAUAUAUUAGACAGUAUUUUUACGUUAGGAAGUAUUCAUGUUUUAUUUUUUUAUUUUUAAUUGGAUGUUGCGAGAUUGUUGUCUUAUUGAUUUUGUUGAUUAAGAAUUUUAUGUUAGUGUUAUGUUAUUGUGUUUUCAAUUUUUAACUUAUGAUACAAUAAUUCAGUUUAUACGAUUUAAUGAUCAAUAUUUUUUCUUUUUUUAAUGAUCGGUACUUUAUAUGUGAACCCCUCCUCAGAUGAAUUCCUGGCUCCACCACUGCUCAUGGUAAUGAAUCCAUGGAAGUUGUUGCGCAAUGUACCGUUGCAGUGUAACAGGUACCAUCAGAUCUUCAUCUCCAUGCCACAGGUGAACAAAAGCUUCAUUGUUCAGAAAAGGGUUUUCCAGAUCGAGAGGACUAAACUCCCACAUCCCAAAUCCAACCUUCAAGUCACGAUGAACCGACUCGGCCUCUCCUUGCUCUUUUUGGGAAGAGGCUUUAAGUUUAAGAGGAUUUCCUUGUCCAGUGGAGAAAGCACAUCUAGGCUGCGAGCUAGAACACUUGAAGCAGGAAACCAUUUCUGAGUGUUCCAAAACGAAGUAAGCCAAGGGGUGGUGUGAAACAUGAAGUGCCCAUUGGUCAUGCUGAAACUGUUGGUAGUAGUAUGCAUGAUUACAUAGCUUUGCAGGGAACCCUUUCCACCAGUAAUUAACAACCGGCGCUAGCCUUCCAGGGAUGUACUUGAGGCAACCCCAAACAGCCUUACCACCCAUGGAGAAACCAACCACAUAGAAUUUGGACCCUAACCUUAGCUUAUCAGCCAGCUCUUCUUGUGGAAAAACCAAACACAAAGUUGCAGAAGCUUUUCAGAUAUUUCUUCUUGGUAAGGAACUAGGUUACAAACCUAAACUAUAUAUAAAAAAGGUUGAGUGAGAAACACACUUCAUCACCCAUACUUCUUUUACACACAAGACUAACCCUAAAAGAACAAAGCAACACGGCUAUGGCACUAAGACUAAAAUUACCAUGCUGCUUUAGGAGACCAUCAGCGGCCACCAUGCUGCUACAAUAGAGGAGACCAUCAACAACAUACAACCCAUAAAGGAGUUGUCACACACUUACACAUGUCUCACACUUCUAAAGUCUACUUUAACUAGAUUUGUAGUACCACAACUCUCAUAUAUAAGUAAUGUAAACUAUAUAAGUAACAUAUAAAUAGUAAAGGUAAGUCUGAAAGGAGACCACAACACUUACGCAUCCUGGUCCGGGAGACCAUAGCACCCAUAUAUCAUCUAGAUACAACCAUACUUCCAUAAGCAUAGUCAUACCUCCAAUACUUCUAUAUCGAAAGAAGUAUGGAAACAUUUUAUAUGGCACAAAAUUCAACUUUAUAUGAAACACGUAAAGUCUUUCAGAGGAAUUUCACUUAAUUUGAAACAUUUUCGGGAACAGUUUGUUACUCUUCGACUACUUCUAGUACUCUUCUGACUUACCAGCCACGAAAACGAAGCAAAUGAAGAUAUUGAAGGCCCAACAAGAGUUGGGCUCUAGGUUUGAGCUCCUCCCUGAAUAUUGGUCUUGUUGCUAGCUAUUUGAACCCACCCAGAUUCUAUAGAAAUCAAAACUAUUGAUUAUUGUGGAAGAAAAUUUAACUAGAUCCCAAUCAUCUAUGUCAAUACAAUGAGUAGAACUACAAUCCUUGAGUGGGUUGAUGUCGCAAUCUGAAAAAAUCAAUUUCACAUUUUUGAAAUUGGGUCUCAUCUUCGUUUCUCAUCUUAACUUAGGAAAAAGAUGAAAGAUAAAGCUCAUCGAUCUAAGCCUAGUGUAUGAAGUGUGGGUGUAAAGAAACUUAUCAACGUACUUCACAAUAAUGAGAUAAACUCAUAUCAAUUAGGAGGCUGUCGAUUAACAACAGACAUGGAAUCAGCUCGCUAGUACUGAAUUAUGAUUACCAUUGUACUGGCAUGAUAUGAUAAUGUACACUCAGAAUUUAGAACUUAAAGAGUGAGGAGAGAUCGGUGUGUUCACAGACUAACUAGUACAAUAUGAUCGAUUACAUGUAUUACGACUAACUAGUACAAUAUGAUCGAUUACAUGUAUUAUGCAUUGCUACUUUUAGUAUGAUGCAUUACAUUCUUUGUUUUGGAUGAUAAGAAUCCCAGCUGGUCGAUCAGUGCUGGUGGUGGUAUAUAUCCCAGCUGUUUUAACUAAACCCCAGCUGAAAUCCAAUGUAUUAUAUAUCCAGCUACAUGGAACACGUUAAGCCUUUCAUUGGCGUAUUAAUAGGUUUUUUGUUUUUUUAUUUGGAGAAUGAUGUAUUAUUAAGCUUAACAGAAGAGUCAGAAAUAGAGAGAGAGAACGCCAAAAGAGACAAGAGAUUCCGGACUUCCGGUGACCGACUCAAUCAAAGCAAAAGGCAACGGUUAUGGAACUCCAUCACAUUUUUCUCUUCAUGAGAUUUUGCUCUGGUGUGGACCAACUUAUUUGCAAACUACCAAAUGAGAUUCUCUCAUCUCAAUUGUGAGUUUUGGAUGUUAGCUACCUAACUACAUGAGUUCGCUCACCAAAACAACACUAUCCCUUUGUGGGAAAGCCAACCCCCUUAAGAAACGCCUCCUCCAAGAGAAGAUAAAUAAAGAACAUGAAAAAACCAAAAUAUAUAAGAAUAAAUAAGGUCUUAAAAAAACAGUUAUAAGAAGUGUUUUCUGAUGAUUAAGUAAAAUCCUUAUUUAAAUUCUAAUCGGGUAUGUUACCUAUCCUAUUCUAAAUUUGAUUCUCGGUCUUAUGAUGGCUGUGUAAUGUGUGUGUUUAUCAGAGGGCAACAUGAUCUACUAUACUGAUCGUGCUAAUAGGAAUACAUACACGUAUAUAUGUCUGUAUGGUCGUGUGUGAUGAUGUGACACUUGAAAAGUAAAGAUCAUAUUUAAUGAAUGCGAAGACAGUUAAUUUAGUUAAAAGAAAAAAACAACGAUGAAAUAUAUUAAAAUCAACGUCAAGAAAAGACAAACCACCACGAUAUAUUUUUUAAUGAAAGACGCAUGAUGACGAUACCACACUUUACUUAUCAGAAAACGAGACAUUUUCAAAUCAACUUGGGAGCCCGUGAAACAACAAUUGCCAAUAAAAUUAAGGACAUGACCGGAUUGAUUGACUUGACUUUCGUUCUCAUAUAGUACGGUUUUGUAUUUUUCGUAUUUUUAUAAUUUAUUGACAUAAAUUACGGGACCUAUAUAAAGUUCAUCUAUUUUAUACGCUGAAACCGUUAGCUUAUCCGUUUAAAGCUACGUGCGCAUGCAUGCAUGCAUGCGGCGCCAGCGAAAGCGCAAGUACGCAAAGAUUUUCCUUUUUUUUCUUUGGUCCCUUUACGAUAUAGAUAAUGUAAAUUAAGAUUAAACAAACUAUAAGUUAGCACUAACCAUUAUAUAAGAGUGUGAUAAACACCCAACCUCAUAGAAUAUCGUGCACCUUUGUUAACGCCGUAACUGAACUCCUCGCCCCUCCGUGAAGUCUCAGAGACCUAUAAUCGACCUUUACCAGGGACACGGGAGACACGUGUCAGACGUGCAGACCCUUUUGAUAUGCAGCUCGGUAACGUGUUUGAGGCCACCCUCGACGCUUCACAGCCGGUGGGUUGUUGAGGGAAACUGGAGUUACGUAACUGCCCCUGCAGUUGGGGAUUAAUUACACUAACGCCUCAAACAAACAAAGGUUGAAACAUGUUAUCAGGAGCUCUGGGACUUUGCGUUUGGUUUUCUUCAAUUCCAUUUUCUCUCACAUUGACACACUUUCCUGAAGAAGAAGAAGAUGACCUCUCAUGUUAGCUCUGUUUUCUACCUAACUGGUCUUCUAGGUAACCUCUCCAAUUUUGAUUCCUUUCUCAAAUCUUUGGUCCAAUUUCUGCUUUGAAUUGAACCAACAUUAGAGAAUAAAGUGGCACUCUCUGUGGGAGAUUGUUAGGAGCAUGUUUAAGAUUUCGGUUUCGCUCUAAAUUGAAAUUUUCCUCAAUUAUGUGCUGUUUGGUUCUGUUUUCAGCUCAGUUGACAAGAUCUGUUUUACUGAGAUGAUUUUGGGAUCAUGUGAGAGGAGGUGUCUGUUUUAGCUGAAAAGUGAUUUUCUCUACUUACAUUUCUCUAAUUUGCCUGAAUUUUUCUAUAUGGCAGGUGAUUCCAUGACAUGGGGCCGAGAGUGAUCAAGAUUUACAGAGCUUGAUGAUUUUGGUGAAUUGGGUAAGAAUUGAGAUUUAGCUCAGAACUGGGUCUAUACAUGUGUUUCUCUCCUGACAUUUUCUCAAAAAUUCCUCUGUUUUUUUUUAUGGCGGAUAAUUACAAAAUUAGGUUUUUUUUUGUUUUUACUUUUACUUUUACUUUUUUAUAUCUGUACUCUCUACCUUUUGGUCUCCAUCUGUGUUCUCUCACCUAAAAUUUCUCAUCAUUUUGUUUUUUUUUCCCCUCUCUAUGGCAGGUAAUUCUAAAGCUUGAUUUCACUGAAUUCAGUGAGCUGAGGAAGACAUAGAAGCCGAAGGCAGAGGAAAUCUAAAAUUUUAAGGUCCCUGAGGAUGGAUAUGAAUGAGCAGAGGAAAGAUGCCUUACAUGAUUGGGCUUCUUGCAUUGCUCCAACAACUCUUGACAGUCCUAAUCUCCCAAAAGUUUCCCAGCAACAUAGACACCAUGAAUUUUAUAAAUUCCCGUUUGCGUUACAACCCAUUGAAGGGAAUAAUGGAACUGGACCUGGUGGUGCUGGCAACACACUCGAGAUGUCGAGAGAGGUUCCUUGUAUACAUCUCCUGGCCCUUGUGCAUGCUGCCUCUAGUGCUGCACAGAAAACUGCUGUCAUGCAUGGAGAACAUCAGUGUAAGUUGCAAGACAAAUCUAAUUUUUUUCUCAUAAUUUUCAUUUAGUGGUUUUAUUAUCUUAAACUUGAGAAAAGCAUUUUAAACACACUCACUCCCCAAACUAAACAAGAGGGGAAAUUAACUAUAUAUACGGAAAAUGAAAUACACUAUAGAUCAAUAAAAAUAAAGUAUGUUGUUUUUUGUUACCUCUCUUGCUGAAUGGGCCAAUGUUGCUAUGCAGAUGAUUUUCCCUGCCACCUUCCUUGUGAUCUGAAUUCAGCACCUGAGACCACCUUUGGCCAAUUUGCACCCAUAACACCAGAGAAGGCAAGCUCAAAUGUGGAUCAUAGAAAAAACCAGCAAAUAGAAGAGCAGAUGAAUGCUGGUGCUACCUCAUGUGAAAUCUUCGAGCAGAGAAAUAAUAAAGAUGUAGCAAACCCUGCUACAGAUUUUUCACAUGCUACUCCUUCCACACAGCUCCAGGAGAAUAGCAUCAACAAGGAAGGGGACAAUAGCAUUGACUUGAAUCAGACACCGCAGCUGAAACAAAGGAGGAGAAAGCACAGGCCCAAGGUGAUUAGAGAAGGCAAACCAAAGCCAACACCGAAACCUCCCACUACUAAGGAAACUCCUGUCAGAAGAAAGUAUGUGAGGAAGAAUGCACUAGACAAAAAUGCAACUCCUCCCCCACCAAAGGAACUGGGAGAGUGCACCGAUUUAACUAAACCAAAAUCUACCAAGAGAUCAUGCAGAAGGGUGUUGAAUUAUGACAUGAAAGAUCCAGGAGAUGACAUAUCCUCUUUACAGAAAGACACUGCCACACUGUACCCUGCCAGAAAAAGUUCCAUGGAGGGAAGAGAGUAUGUUGAUUGUCAAAAAGACACUGCAGAAGGAAAAGCGACAGUGAGAGCUCAAAUUGGUCAUAAAAAUGCUGUAGAAACUGAGUUGGAUGGUGACACUAGUUCCUCUUUACAAAGGCCAAAUGACUCUAACUGCAGCUCAUCCAUGAUUCUGACACAAGAAAAUGAACAACUGAAUGGAUCCAAGAGAAAAUAUUCUAGUGCUGUUGAGCAGACAGAGCCCAGACCCCAAAAUUUUCUCGGAGUUCACUACAAUAAUAUGCCAGCAUAUGAGAACAUGAUGUCUUAUAUGCAUUUUCCAUACAUAUACAAGAAGAGGAGGACAGAUAAGGGAUGUGCUUCUAUCAUAUCCAGCACAUCAUGUCAUGUGACUAUGGCAGAAAAUGUUUGGAGACAAUCAGAACUGCAAGAUGUUGAGACUAUCCUGCCUUCAUAUCGAACACAAAGUUCAAAAAGGAGAAGAUCAAAAGCUCCAACACGGUUUCGUGACUUGGCUUCUCUAAUUAGAACACCAGAGCACAUUCUGCUCCAGAGUACCUGUCUCACGAAACCACCGGCUGAUGUUAAUUGGCAAAGAGCAAUGAACUGUAACUCAACUCAGACAUGCAUGGAUGCCCUAGUCCCUGAAGUGGGUGACACACUAGCAAAGAAAAAGAGAACAAAAAGAAGCACUCUUACCAGUUCACACCGAAGUCUUGUGCUAUACAAGAACCAACCAUUAGUUUCUGGAUCAUCAGGUAUGCCGAUAAAAUUAUGUUCCCAUAUGAGUUGUUGCUCAUUCUGGCAAUCGAAAUUUACUUGGUCAUUAAUUGUAGGUGUUCCACCAGAAGUAGCAUGCACGCAAAUACUUUCUGUUGAUGCUAUUGCUGAUCAAUUAAAAUGUUUGAACAUAAAUAGAGAAAGCAGCAAAUUUGCAUAUCAGGGGUAUAAUGUUGUCUAUAAUACACAAGAUCAAGAGAACAAUGCAUUGGUUCUUUAUAGAAGAGAUGGCACUGUUGUACCAAUUGAGGGGGCGUUUGAUCCUAUCAAGAAACGCCGGCCACGACCUAAAGUUGACCUUGAUGAAGAGACUGAUAAAGUAUGGAAGCUGCUAAUGGAUAACAUCAACAGUGAAGGCGCUGAUGGAACGGAUGAACAGAAAGCAAAAUGGUGGGAAGAAGAGCGUAGAGUGUUCAAAGGUCGUGCUGACUUUUUUAUCGCACGAAUGCAUCUUGUGCAAGGUACAUAGCUUUUAAUUAUAAUCCCUAAUUUAUCUGCAAGGAAAUUUAUUUUGGAGAAAAGUUAAGUUCAGUUGAUUAUUACAGUAUGGUAAGCUAGCUAGACAAUGCAGUAUUAGUGGCAUGCCAAUUUUUAGUAACCAUACGGUAAGUGAGUUGGGUACUGUGUUUAAGUUCUACUAAAACAUAAAAUCUAAUGAUGAAAGCAAUACAAAAGACACUGCAAUUGAAAUUACUUGGCAAGGAAGGGAAACACAUACUUCAUCAGACUAAUAAAGAACAAGAAUUAUUCAACUUCAACCUUAUCUUAUGCAUGCAUCCUAUGUAGCAGGCUAAACAAAUUUUUGUUCUAUUAUGCUAAUCUGAAGUACCCUGGUCCUCCGCAUGUGUACAUGUACACAAAGUGAACACUAGCGUCAUGUAUAGAUAGUUACAUAUUUACAUACUAAUAGUAUUAUAUUUCCGCAGGAGAUAGACGCUUCUCUCCAUGGAAAGGAUCAGUUGUGGACUCGGUGGUAGGAGUUUUUCUGACUCAAAAUGUAUCAGACCAUCUGUCUAGGUGAAUACUUUUUGGGCAUAUACCUAAAGAUUCAAUAUUAGACAACGCUUAACUGGGAAAACUUACCUAAUUUCCUCCUUUUAUGUUUUUUGUAGCUCUGCAUUCAUGUCGCUUGCUGCACAUUUUCCCCUGAAGUCAGUGAACAACCAAAAUGCAUCCGAUGAAAAAGUUGCGAGCUUAGCAGUAGAUGAACCAGAAGUGUGCACUAGUGAGAUUUCAAACCAGCCACUUUGUGAUUUUAGUUCCGUAACAUUCCAUGACACUGAGCAUAGUGAAGAACAAGUUGUCAACAGCAGUGAGAACACAGAAACCACUAGUGAGGGAGUUAUCUCUACAAAUGAACCCGACUGCAAGUUAACACCUUCAUUGGUUAACGGGUCCGCCACCAAGAACCCAAGAACAGCAUCAGAAUGUUACAUAGAGGAAGACUUGAGAAAACGAUGUGAUAUAGUUUCAUCUCAAAAUUCUGUGGAUUCUUCAACUUCUCAGACUGUGGAAAAAACAGGAUUAUGUGAGAGCAACUCAGAGACAGAGGACGCACCUGAUACAUGUCAAAAUGGCAGUUUGGAUCAUUCCACUUUGUUUUUACAGAAGGCCGAAGUCCACAGUGUCAGAAACAGCCAUUUGUCACCUCAUGACAAUUUGAAUUGUGAACUUCAUGAGCCGAUAUGCAUGCAGCAUGAUGACGAAAGAAUAUUUAUAGAGAGCGGUGGAGCAUCCCAGGACGCUUCCAAUAAUUGCUGUAUACAUAACAUCCCCAACCCAGAAGUAGUGCAAGUUGAGUGCUCUGAAUUGUUUGAAGAGGUAAUCCAUUCUUCUAAUAUUUCCAAGAACAAAUAUGAAGACAGUCCGGGGGAACAGAGUGUACUAACAGCAGAAUCUGUGAGUCAAGAUACAACAAGUAAUAAGCUUACUGUCAAUGAUCAAGAUGCACAGAGAUGUUUCAGUGAAUCAUGCACUUGCAUUCAAGAAAAAAGUAACAUGAUUCAGUCUCAAUUCAGGGUUGGUGGGAACCCAAAUAAGGUUUACGUACCUGCUGAGAAGCAUACAAGUAAGAUUCAGCAAAGUUGCAACAUUUCUGAAGAGACCACAGAUAUUAUGCAUAAGGAACCUGAGUCAGAUUUAAGCUUCAACGAAGUCAGUAAUGUGGAUGCUGCUACCUCAAAGACAAAGAACAGAAGACCUGGAAAAGACAAAAAGGCUCAGCAGGACUGGGAUAAAUUAAGAGAACGAGCAGAACCAAAUGGAAGAAAAAGGGAAAAAACAGCAAACACAAUGGAUUCCGUGGACUGGGAAGCUGUAAGAACUGCAAAUGUGAAUGACAUUGCCCAAACUAUCAAAGAAAGGGGGAUGAAUAAUAAGCUUGCAGAAAGAAUCAAGGUAGUUAUAACUAUACUGUAAAAUUAUAAUUAACAAAUUCAUUUACCCAUACACCAGAACACCAACAUGAGUGAGAUAUUUGUGCAGGAAUUCCUUAACCGGUUACUUAGAGAACAUGGGAAUGUUGAUCUUGAAUGGUUGCGGGAUGUUCCACCUGACCAAGCAAAGUAAGCCCAUGGAAGUAAUACAGGCCAAUUUUCCAAUUAUGAAAACCAACGUCUAGAACUUAUUUACUUACUUGCAUGUGUCAUUACAAUUUCCAUGGCCAUGCUCCUAAUGUAGUGAAAUUAUUCAUCAAACUUCUGUGGUUUGUGUUCCAUAUGUGUUUGACAUAUGCAUAUGCCUGUAGAGAGUAUCUGCUGAGCUUCCGUGGACUGGGGCUAAAAAGCGUGGAGUGUGUGAGGCUUUUAACACUUCACCAUCUUGCUUUUCCGGUGAGUAUCAUAUAUAUCAAGUAUGUCUGAAUAAUAGAUGAGGCAUCUCAACAUAUAUCAUUUUGUUUUGGUAGGUCGAUACAAAUGUUGGACGUAUAGCUGUACGGCUGGGAUGGGUACCUCUUCAGCCCUUGCCCGAGUCACUGCAGUUGCAUCUUCUAGAACUGUUAGUAUAAUGAGCCACCAUGUCACUAAUGGAAUUUAUUUUCACAUAGAUCAACAUAUUACUGAUGCUUCUGUCUCUCAAAGGUACCCGGUGCUGGAAUCCAUACAGAAGUACUUGUGGCCAAGACUUUGCAAGCUUGACCAAAGAACCUUGUAAGUACAAAUUCUUAUUCUUUCCCCCAAUACACUAGCAUAUUUAUAUAAAUGAUCUUGCAGAUUCCGAAAACAGAGUUUGGUCUUCAAUAAAUCAGAUACCAAUAGGCUAAACCCUUUCAAUAUAUGCUAACAGGUAUGAGCUGCACUACCAGAUGAUAACAUUUGGAAAGGUAUGUUGUGUUGUCUCGUGAUAUAAACAUGAAGUGAAUUCCUCUUUCUGACCACAGGCUUAGAAUUUAUAAAAUGACACUUGUUGAUGCAGGUCUUCUGCACGAAAAGCAAACCAAAUUGCAAUGCAUGUCCAAUGAGAGGAGAAUGUAGACAUUUUGCGAGCGCAUUUGCAAGGUUUGUACACUAAUUGCUCCAGCUAUGCAUUUAAUUAAAGUCACAAAUUCCAUCAUGUAGGUAUUUCCAAUAGAUAAGAAAUGUGUUCAUUUGUCCACCACCAAUAAGAGAACAUCCUGAUAAGUAAAACUAGUCCUAGACAAAUAUAUGGUUAAAUAGGGAACACAACAGUUAUGACUUUGCUUUAUCAAAAUCUGGAAACAUACGUAGUUCAAGAAAAAAGGGAAGGAUUUGUGAAUCAUAUUGUUAUGUAAUAAAAGGCCCAUUAUUGGCUAUCCACCAACCCUCAGUCUAGUGAAAACUAUGGACAAACACCAAAUAUCGUAUGAUAUUAACCAGCCAACUAAUAAUCCUUAUAAAAUGCACUUUACAGCUAUUUUAUUUGACAGAUUUACUAAUAACGUUUAUUGAUGCAGUGCAAGACUUGCCUUGCCAGGGCCCGAGGAGAAAAGUAUAGUGAGUGCAACAGAAGAUAGAAAUACGUAUCGAAAUCCUGGUGAGAUCAACAACAAAAUUCCUCUACCUAUCCCUCUCCCUCUCCCUCUCCCUCAUCCUCACCCAACAGAACAGUUGGGAGGAAACCAGCAACUUGAAGCAAGCCAACAAUCAAGACCAAAGUCUGCACCUGGUUAUACUGAACCUAUUAUUGAAGAGCCAGUAUCACCAGAACCAGAGUGCACACAGAUAGUAGAAGACAUUGAGGAUUUCUAUGAGGACCCAGAUGAAAUUCCUACAAUUAAACUUAACAUGGAACAGUUCACUCAGAACUUGCAAAAUUAUAUGCAACAAAACAUGGAACUUCAACAAGGAGAAAUGUCAAAGGCAUUAGUUGCUCUAACACCAGACGCUGCAUCCCUUCCUACACCUAAGCUUAAGAAUGUGAGCCGACUACGAACUGAGCACCAAGUGUAAGUAUGCAUUGACAUCACUCUAAUUAUUUCAAGAAGAUUUGAACCAUGUCUAACUUUCAAGCCAAGAAUCACAUCGACAGAACAGUGAUAAUCUAGUGCUUGAAAGUCUAGUUACUUAAAAACCUAACAAGAAAAAAAAGGGCUCCAUAGUUUUGUAGACCAUGAUAUCACUAUGAUGAUAUCACCUAACAAUGACACUAGCAUUUUUGUGUUGCUAAUCCUUGUUCUUCAUAAUGCAGCUAUGAACUUCCUGACUCACACCCUCUUCUAGAUCGAGUAAGUAAUAUCUACAAGCUAAAUAUCAUUGUUUAAUGGGAUAAACUUUGGCACUCCACUUUAGCACUUGCACUAAGUUAUGGGAAAGUGGAGUGCCAAAAUCAUGGCUAAGUAUUCGUUUUUUUUUUUUCCUCCUUUUGUUUUGGACAUGUACACUAAAAAUUUUAACCCCAAAUCUGUCUCUGUGCCUAAUACAGUUGGGGUUGGAUAAGCGAGAACCUGAUGAUCCAUGCAAUUACCUUUUGGCCAUUUGGACACCAGGUAAGCAGAUGAUAUAGAAAACCCAAACUAUAUAGAUAUUCUUAAUAUGGUAAUCAGGUUACCUAGUUUCCCUUUUAAGAACUUAACCUAGGACCAUAUCUUUAGGAACCCUCAGAACAGUCCCAACUCCCAAGUGUGAUAAUGAGUACUAUUAUCAUCUGUGCCACUAAGAAAAUGGUUUAAGAAAUGCUCCCCUCAGAAGGUGGCCUGACCGAAGCUAAUAUAUUUUCUAUUAUUUCCAUAAGUUUAAUAGCCGAAUCAAACUAACUUACCUUGGUGUUCAUGCCAGGUGAAACAGCAAACUCCAUUCAACCUCCAGAGAAUAGGUGUAGUUCUCAAGAAUUCGGCAAGUUGUGUGACGAUAAGCAAUGUUUCCAAUGCAAUAGUGCACGGGAAGCACAUUCACAAACAGUUCGAGGGACUCUCUUGGUAAGAAUAUGCUAAUCAAACUAGAAAUACUGUCAUAGCCAUGUAUAACUGUUAUAGCCACCAAUAACUAUAACCGUAGCAAAAGUAAGACAAUGAAACAUUUGUAACACCAAUAUAAGAUGAUGACAAUAACACAUGUUUACUAUUCUUGAAUUACAUCAUGGACAGGUACCAUGCCGAACAGCAAUGAGAGGGAGCUUCCCACUUAACGGCACCUACUUUCAAGUUAACGAGGUGAGAGAUUAUUUUACUAGGCUCAGUUUACUUCUUUUCAUAUCUUUACUUCUUUUCAUAUCUUACUGAAUCUAUUUCAAGUUUGGGGAUAUUGAUUACAUAUGAUGUCCAAUGCAGGUAUUUGCUGAUCAUGAUUCGAGCCUUGAGCCUCUUGAUGUUCCAAGAGGCUGGUUGUGGAAUCUGAAUAGGAGAACUGUGUACUUCGGAACCUCAAUACCGACAAUAUUCAAAGGUAAAGAUUGUAAAACUUUAAACUCUUAUAAUUCGGACUACUGAUAUAACCAAUUUCUUAUCUAAUGUGCUUCUUCUUACCAGGGUUAACAACACCAGAAAUUCAACAUUGCUUUUGGAGAGGUAUGAAAAUAUGCUGCUUAUUAGUUUCAUUUAUAACUUGUAUGCAUGACAUUCUCCCCUAUUUACGGGAUAUAGUUAUCUCUACACAUAUUCAAAACCUUAUCCUUGCAAGGGAUGUAAAACCUACUUCCCUUCUAACAUAUAAGAGCUAGCGAUAUUUCAUAUCUUUCCUUCUGAUGAAUUCCCUUGACAUAGCUCUUGUACUAGCAUUUUGUAGGUUCAUGGAAAAAAUGUACAGAAUGACUGAAUGAGUGUUACAAGGAUUUCUGGCUUCGUACAUGUAUCUAAUUACUGCAAAUAUUACCAUAUUACACUUUACUAAGAAUGGAAUUUUAUAGUAGCUUAUCAAAUGUGUUUUAUUUCACCUUUUAUUGGACUUUGGUUUUAUGUCACAAAUUGCGUGUAGCAAGUUCCUUAGAAACCUACGGCCAAAUCAAAUAUAUGUUCCCUAAAGAGUUGCUUAAUCGAUGUGCAGGAUUUGUGUGCGUGAGGGGGUUUGAUCAGAAAUCAAGAGGUCCACGUCCUUUAAUGGCCCGGCUGCACUUCCCAGUCAGCAGGUUGGCCAAACCAAAAGGCAAGAAAGAGGAGUUGCCAUCCCAAAAUUUUCAAAAAAAGUAUGCCUAGAGAGCAGUAGAGCACCACAGAAUUGAGAUCGAGUGGCAGCUAAUUCAGCUAUUGUAAAUCGGCUAGUUGAGAAUAGAAAAAAGGUAGUUUUAGUUUUUGUAUCCUCACAUGAACAAGGAGGGAUUUGGCCAAAUUGUAAAAACAACCAGCAUAAUCCAAUAGAUGUCAUGCAGUUUUUAAUAUAAUCGCUUUUGCUUUGAGCAAAGUUACCGAAGAUUGUAAGCUUUUUUUUUUUGGCUGAAAGAUGAUGGAGAGAGGAAUGACCCCCUAACACUCUAUUGUAAGCUUAAUAGAUUAGAAGAUAGUGCAGGGAGAGCGAAAUACAGUGCACAAAAGUUUCUUCUGGCAUUCUGAAAAAAAGCUCAUAGCAUUUCCAACACAAUUUGCUUCCUAUUCAUAUCGCAAAUUUGUGUAUCUGUGAAUGAAAAUCCCUCGGUUUGUGCUAUUUCCGACCAACUUUUGCCGGAAUGAAUUAUUCAGACGAACUUUUAACAGAAUCUAACAAAGAUAUCAACAGCAACAUCACUCGCCUCACCGAAAUUUCAAAUAAGCAAAUUCCUAAUUGCUAAGAAUCCUAAUUAAGAUGCAAAACCUCACAAGCAGAAUAUGAAAUCAAAUAUGAUAUUACACAAAGAUUCUUUGUACCGAUUACGAUAAGAUUAAAAUAGAGGUGUGUGUACCGUUGAAUCUAUAUGGUGCUUCCGAUCAAUUGUCGACGGUAAGAUCUCAACACUUCAGGCGGCGGAGAUGAAGCUCUGAGAGAGGAGAGAUACAGGAAACGAAUAAGGAAAUUUCAAAGGUCCGAAGACGAAAAGACAGAUUCAAAUUCAGAUGAGAAAACGAAGCGUACCUUUCGAAUUGCUUGGGAGCUGAAUCUCCGACGACGGAGACGCUCGGACUUCACGAGAUCCAAUCGGAGAAAGAGAGAGUUAAUUAUGAGUGUGUGCCUUUACCGCCAUUUUCCUUUUUUGUUUCCCGCCCAAAGUGAAUCAGUUUUUCGAUUUAGGGUCACGUGUCGGGUUGCGAGCCACGCGUGGUUUCCAAAAAAUAUUUAGGAAAAAGAGGUCAGAAUUUUAUUGAAACACUAAAGAGAAAACGACUAGUGCUAACGAAGUUUGGCUCAGUUGACAAGAACGGGUUUGUGGUGGAGACCCUAUCCAAGUUUGAUCCCCGUUACCAACAAGUCUCGUUGGUUCGCGAUCUAUAAAUUCUCUUGUGGAAAUCUAUAGCUGGAGGCUGGUGUAACAGGUACGUGUCUACUGUCAGUCCUUCAAGGUUGAGGUUGCAGGUUUGCCCUAACGAUUGUGGUGUAGCAUAACCAAGCUCUCACCUUACUUUUUGUAUAAAAUAAAAAAAUAAAAAAACGACCAUCACCUUAAAUUUUAUCUUUAAACAACCUUUGAGGAGGAGCUUCCCAUUUCAAAAGUAUAGUCGUAAACGAUUCUAUUCAGCUUGGAAUUAAAAUAGAUGUAGCGCGCUACUCAACCUUAUAGAACGAAUCAAAUUCCAUGUUUCAAGUAAUUUACCGACGCGGACUUAACUACUUAAAACCCUUCUAACUUCUCAUAGAUAUGUACCGACGCGGACUUCAUAUCUAAAAUAGAUCAGAGGAAGAACUUGAACAUGUUAGAAUGUAAUUCACCGACGCGGACUUAAAAAACAUCCUAGCAUGCAACCUAUGACUCUUUACCAUUCUAGUUCAUGUUUACCGACGCGGACUUAGCACAAACAAUGGCACAUAUUGAUUAAGAACAAGUCAUAAGUUGUCAAUCACACAUAAACACAAUUUAGAUCGUCGAAAGCAUCAUCAAUUACACAAACAACUCAAGUGUACAAAUCUGAUUUUCAUGAUCAUAAGAACAAACUCAAUCAAAAAUCCAACUCAUGAACACAAACGAAUAAGAGAGAUGGAAACAAACUAAAGUAAUUGAAUAGAUAAUAAAAGAAAACAUUAGGUCUGAGUUUAGAUUACACUUUGAGUAUUGAAACAAGGAACUACGCCGAGGAUUACAAAGGAGAAGGCACGGCAAGAGAAAUCCUAAAACUAGGGUUUGUGUUUGGAGAAGAAUUUCUGAAGGAGAAGAACGACGUUAUUUCUCUGCGGCAAAGAGCGACCCUUUUCACGUCUCCAACUUCUCAUAUAUAUAGGGAACGUAUGAACAGCUUCUAUUAGGGUUAGAGAACCCUCAAUUUUCAUUCAUGGGCUCGCCGUUAUGGUCUGGGCCUUGAAAUUGAAGUUUCGGUCCAAAUCAGAAAUUCGGGCAGACUGACCUUUGGUCACUCAAAUGGUCAUAACUUCUUCUCCAAAAUAGCUAUUGACGAUCCGCAAAAAGUUCUGGAAACUAGACUCUUCUAGCUUUCCGUUGAUAUAAGGCUUGUCUCCUAGAUCAUUGUAAGCUGAUCACAAUACUCUAUCGAAGUUGACUGACUAUUCCUGACAGAUUUUAUGAUUUCUUUCCUUGCACCAUAUGGAUUCCUCUUCCUUCAAGAUUUCUCCUCUUUUGCUUCUUUUGUGCUCCUCGGCUUUAUUCGCAACCUAAAAACACAAACUAAGUUAAAAUCAAUAUUGUUAAAGGAAUUACAUAGCUAAAUAGGGUCGGAAAUACAUUAUAAACGUUGCAUAAAAUGCACCUACCAUUUGCAUAGAAUAAAUGGGAAUAGAGGAGGUCACAUAUUGCAUAAGAGUGAGCCUACCAGCCAUACUGAGAGUUUUACAUUUCCAGCUAGCAAGCCGGUUUUGAAUUCUAUCAAAAAUACCCUCAUAAGUAUGUUUGUUAAUUCUUGUAUGAAUAAGAGGGACACCAAGGUAUCUACCAAGAUCAGAAGUGAGAGGAGAUCCACAUUUUCUACUGAUUUCACUAGCAAGAGAUUUACUAGUAUUAGGAGAGCAAAAAAUAAGGGAUUUUUCAAAACUUACAGCCUGACCAGAGAGAGCACAUAAGGCAUCUAAGCAGCCUUUGAGCACAUGAGCUUGAGUAGAAAAGGCCUCAGCAAACAACAUCAAAUCAUCAGCAAAAAAGAGGUGGGACACCUUAGGGCCAAAUUGAGAGGCUCUGACUGGUUUCCACUUACCAGCAUCAACAGCAAAACUUAUAAUGUGAGAGUCUUUCCAUGCAAAGAACAAAAAUGUAAGGAGAUAGAGGAUCCCCUUGGCGAAUCCCUCUCUAAGCCUUAAAAGAGCUGGUCAAUUCACCAUUAAAACAGAUUUGAAAACUAGUGGUAGUGAUGCAACUCAUAAUCAAAUUGACAAGAUGAGGAGGAAAUUUUGUAUCAUGCAAAACUUGAGCAAUAAAAGACCAACUUAAUCUGUCAUAAGCUUUUGAUAAGUCAACUUUCCAAGCAAAGAAGCCCAGCAUACCUUUAGACUUUUUAAACUUGAACAACAUCUCUUGAGCAAUCAUAAUAUUGUUUGAAAUUUGUCUACCAGGAACAUAGUUGACUUGGUUUGGACUAAUGAGAUGUUGCAUCAGAGGCCUAACCUUAGCAACAAUAAUCUUAGAGAUAAUCUUGUAAACAGUAGUGCACAGGCUGAUAGGUCUAAAAUUGACCAUAUGUUGAGGUCCAUCAAUCUUAGGAAUAAGGGAGAUAAUAGUAUGAUUCAGGCCAGAAGGAAUUGAACCAGAACUAAAAGCCUCAUUAACAAUUUGAAAAAUCUCACCAGAAUAGACAAACCAAUGGUGCUGAAAGAAAACGGCAGGAAAGCCAUCAAAUUCAGAAGCCUUAAGACCUCCAAUGGAGAAAAGAGAAUUCUUAACAUCCAUCAAGGAAAUAGGCUGAGAGAUAUCAUCAAGGAAGCUUUGCUCAAUUUCAGGGAAGGAUCUGGAAAUAGAGAAUCUGCAAUUCAUAAGUUCCUGUGCAAAAAACAGAUUAGCAAAAAAAUCAACAGCAAUAUUUUUCAUAGACUGAGCAUCAGAAAACCAUUUGUCAUUGCUAUCAAACAAUCCUUCAAUCUUAUUUCUUCUCCUUCUAACCAGAGUAUCAAAUGGAAAAAUUUAGUAUUUCUAUCCCCCUCUUGAAUCCAUUUAUCUCUAGACUUUUGCUUCCAGAAUAAAUUCUCCUGGUUAAGAAGCUGCUCAUAUUCUUGAAUUAACUCAGCUUCCACAUUGAUGAGAAAAUGAUUGCUAAAUCUGUCACAAGCUUUUUGAAUACCCCCAAUUCUGGCCAAAAUUUUCUUUUUUCUCCAAAAUAACUGACCAAAAACCUCCUUAUUCCAAACUGUCAAUUCUGGCCAAAAUUUUCUUUUUUCUCCAAAAUAACUGACCAAAAACCUCCUUAUUCCAAACUGUCAAAGUAGAAGAUAAAGUUUUCAAUUUAGAAGUAAAAUCACCAGAGAGGCCAUUCCAUGCAGAAACAACAAAAUCAGAGUAGUUGCAAUGAGAAAAUCACAUUGCCUGAAAUCUGAAAGGCCUAGAAAUAGGAUUAGAACAAAAAUUUGACUCAGAUUGCAUGAUGAUAGGGUAGUGGUCAGAUCUUGUUUUAGGAAGAUGUUGAAUAAAAGCCUCACUAAAAAUAGUUCUCCAAGAACUGCUGCAGAAGGCCCUAUCAAGUCUUUCUUUAACUCUACCAUUGGAUCAAGUAAAACAGGAGCCUAUAAAACCCAUGUCAAUCAAAGCAUGACUAUUAAUCUAGUCUCUCAACCCUCCAAAACGACCAGAGAGAUGACCAUCACUCUUAUCAGCAGCAGAAAUUAAUUCAUUAAAAUCACCAAUCAGAAAACAAGGGAUAGCAUGAGUAGCAAUGAAACCCAUGUCAAUCAAAGCAUGACUAUUAAUCCAGUCUCUCAACCCUCCAAAACGACCAGAGAGAUGACGAUCACUCUUAUCAGCAGCAGAAAUUAAUUCAUUAAAAUCACCAAUUAGAAAACAAGGGAUAGCAUGAGUAGCAAUGAGAUUAUCAAAAUAAGGUCAUAGAGAAUCCCUAGAAGAAUGAUUAGGACUUGCAUAAAUAACAGAGAGCAUCCAAUCAGGUUUACCAGGCAUAGAGACCUUAACUGAGAUGGACUGAAAAAAUUCUCAGCAAUAAAAUCCACAUGGAUAUUGUUUUUAUUCCAAAAAAUCCAUAACCCAUCAGAAAAACCUCUAGCCUUAACCACUCUAUAAUCAGAAAAACCAAUGGCCUUUAAAGCAUUCCAGGCCUUAUUGAACUGAACUUUAGGUUCACAAAUAGCCAACAUAUCAACAGCAUGCAUUUUAACAAGAUCAGAAAUAGCAGACCUAAAAUUUUCAUUCCCUACACCUCGAGCAUUCCAAAACAAAACUUUUAACAUUGGAAAAGAGGAUAGGAAAGAGGGAGCUAGUAACCCAAUUAAGCAGAAUGCAUUGCCUCUCCAUCAAGAGAGGAUAAGCUUUCAUCAGCAGAAAUUCUACCAUUAUCUUUAAAAAUAGAUUCAACGAAGGAAACAGUAUCCAUGGAAGGAGAAUCAGUCAUAUCAAACUUAGGUGGAGGCUUCUCAGGGGGCUUAAUACCUAAAGAGGCCUCAACGCCACUACCUAAGACAUUCAAACUCACAUUAUCAAAGGAGAGCUUUUUUGAAAUAUGAGGUUGCUGCUUAGAAGUAUAGCUGAGCCCUUUGGACUUUCUUUGGUACUGAAAAUCAGUCUUAGAACCACUGCUACUACCCACAUUGGAAACAUCUUUCAUGGGAAUUCUAGGUUUCAAAGAAGCAGAGCUGGUCCUAGCCUUAGUGCUGAGAGGAGGCUUACCAGAAGAAAGGUUAGGCUCCUUCAGAACCACCGAACUGGAGUUAAUAGGGCUAGAAGCGGCAUGCUUCUUCUUCUCAAAACUUUGCCACAAUUUUACAACUGGAGGAGUGGAUUCAUGUAAAACAGGAGAGUUGCUCAGAUCAGAAGCAUUAGAGACAUAAUCAUGUUCUUUAAGCUUUUGAAGAACGAAAAUCUAGAGCCUCCACCUGAAGACUUCUUGGAUCCACUUCCAUCAUUAGAUUUCUUCUUAUUCAUGUAGCUCAUAAGCAUCCAUGGCCCCAUAUCAUCCUUGAUCACUUCACAUUGAAGAUUAGAUUCCUUAUCAAGCUGCAUAGAAACAUCAGAAGCAACAGAUUCUUCUACAUUCUCAGAGGCAGACACAUUAUCACAUGAAACAUCAUUGGAAGUAGCAGGAUUGUCAGUGGACCUAAUAGAAGGGCACUUCUCCUUAGCAUGACCAAAACAACCACAUUCAAAGCAAAUAAGAGAAAUCCCCUCAUACACCACAUUAUAGGCUACAGAUUCAACUUCAACAAAAGGACGCAGAGGUUUGCUUAAAUCAACUUCCACACAUACUCUAGCAAACUUACCCCUAGUUUGUCCAACAGUAAACUUAUCCACCUUAACUACAUCACCAAUGAUUUUUCCAAUUUUGGCAACAGUAAAUUCCUUGAAAAACUUCACAGGCAAGCCAAAAAUCCUAACCCAGAGAGCCAUUUUUUCAAUAGAUUCAGUAAGGGGAUCAAACUCAGGCCUAUACUGCCUAACAACAAGUGUCUGACCUGUUAAGAUCCAGGGACCCUCGCACAGAGCAUAAUUCAUAUCCUCUUCAAAAUUAUAUUUCACAAUAUAAUAAUCAUUAGGCAAAUCAAUAAGUUUCCAACCUCCCUUAACUUGCCACUUACGUCUUAAACCACGAAGAAUGAAAUCAAAGGUGUUUGUAGAAUUAGGUUUUCCCAUAAGCUUAACCACAACGGCACAUCUCCAAUCAAAAUCAAGCUUAUUAUGAACUUUCUCAGAGAAAGAAACAUUCAAGCCAUGCUUACCCUGCGUGUAGGAACAGUCAUCAUCAGUGAACUCAAAGUCUUCAAUCAUAGUUUGAUGGUAGCGCUCCGUGGAGUUUGUGAGAGUACUAGUAUAGGACUGAGUCAGCUUCGUAGGAGCUAAAAUCUGAAGGCCAGGAACCGGAUCCUCCAUUCUUAGAGCUUCUAGGUCAGAGCUGAUAUCACCACCAGCUUUCGAGCGUUUUCGUUGAGCCAUAACUAGAUCCGAGGAUCUACUACUUCCCAGAGGAGCGGCGGAGAAAAUGAACGGUGGAUUCGCCACUAGAAAUCACAAAAAAUCCAGGAAAAUCGACAAGAAACGAAGAGAAAAUUGGCCAAAACGAGCAGGAGUUCAGAAACGGCUAAUUUGGGGAAGGCGCGUGAGGCGCGUUCUCUAACAAACUAGCGAAAAUUAAUUUUUUGUAAAGAGCCCUAUUUUUAUAAUGAGCAACUUCAUUAGCCACAAGAACAUUAUCAAUGUUUAAACGACCCGGCACAAAAGCAAUUUGAAAAGGUGAGAUGAUAUUCGGAAGAAUAACUUUCAACUUGUUAGCAAUCACCUUAGAGCACAGCUUGUAUAUCAUAUUGCACAAUGCAAUUGGUCUCAGAUCGAUCCCCCAUUGUUUCAGGCUGAUCAACUUUAGGUAUCAAACAAAUGUGUGAAGUUAAUUUGCUUGAGUAGAUUACUUGUAUGAGCUUAAUUUUUACAGGCUCUGUAACAUCGAUAUCGGUUCUAAAUGGUCUCCCAGUAAUGUUGGAAAAAGAGAGGAGACAUACCAUCCGGUUCAGGAGAUUUUAUAGGAUACAUUUGAAAAGAGAGCAAUUCGCACCUCCUCCUCAGUAUACAAAGCACAAAGGCUCCUAUUCAUACCACUAGUCAUACAAGGCUUAAUGGCAUUGAGUACAACGUUCACUGCCUCUAUGUCUAUGGGAGUUGAUGUAAACAUCUUAGCAAAGUACUCAAUUACUACUCUUUCCAUUCCAUCGAUCUAUCAUCAUUAUCAUAUCGUCUACCGUUAGAAUCAAACAAUCCUACCAAAUUGUUCUUCCUCUUUCUAUUAGCAGGUUGAAGAACUCGGAAUUCCUAUCUCCCUACCCUAUUGUAACCAAGUUAAUUACUUCUUCCCUUUGUUUCCAAAGGAAAAUUCUACAAUGUGUUAAUGCAUGUGAAUGAUAUGAUGUAUCAACUUUGUAAAUUGAAUCCUCAUACUAGUAAUAUUAAUCCAUCAAAGUUGUAAUAUAAGUUCUUAAAGUUGUAAAUUUCUCUAGUUACAACAUUAGUUAUCAUGUGUGCUUAAAGUAGUAAAAUAUAGUUACAACAUUAGUUAUCAUGUGUGCUUCAAGUAGUAAAAUGUAUGCUUAAAGUAGUAAUUGUGUCAUCAAAGUGAUUAAAAAAAAGUUGUUACAACUUUAAGGACUCGUAUUACAAUUUUAAGGACUCAAUUAAUUAUCACCUUAAGAACAAAUGAGGAUUAAUGUUGUAAUUAAUUUUUUUACAACUUUAACGACUUAUAUUACAACUAUGAAAACUAAUAUUACUAUUUUGAAGACUCAUUUUACAACUUGAGUACAAAGUUGAUGUAUCACAUGCAUUAACACACUCUAGCCUUACGCGUUUUCAAAAAGCCCAUUCUUGAGCCAAUGAGUUGAAGAAUACACUAGCUUUGUUUGAUCAAGAUGACUUGGUGAAUACUUUCGACACUACCUGGGAUAAAAUAUCUUGUUCUGAAAUGAAUGUUCGGGUGAACAAUUUCCGACUCACACAACAUGUUAAUUAGCAAAGUCAUGAUGGAAUAUUUUUGAUAAAAAGCAAGUACUCUGAAAGUAAGAUAGAUAAAUAAGCAUAAAUGACAAGUUCUUUGCAUGACACAUGUCAGAUUUUGAGUUGAACUUGACAUGGGGAUUAAUUAGUACUGAGAAUUAUUAGCUUAGGUAAUUAGCCUGGCUUAGGAAUCUUCGGUUUACGUUUUCAGUAGUAAUUGGGGGUGUUGUAGCCGUAGGAGUUGAGGCUGAGAUCAAGGGAGGUGCGAGCGCCGCCAUUGUAGCCAUCCCAGCCACCGGAGUAGUAGCCGUAGCCGCUGCCGCCCUCGGAAGAGGUCUUGGUGUUGCCAAAAAACCCCUCACCGUGCAUGGGGAACAGUGGGAGGGUUUCAAUCUCCUGGUGAUGAUCUUCUUCUUGUUCCAUGAAAGUUUGUUCUUUCAUGUUAAAGAAAGUAGUGUAGGAUGAGGAGGAAUAAGGGUGAACACUGCCGCCGACCCCUGACCAAAAAUUGUGACUAAUGGAUCCACCGACUCCAACAGCAGUGGCACCAGUUCCCCCUCCAGCUGAGAUUGAAAAAUCCUGGUUCAAAAGAACAUAUUAAGUACAAGUAAUGCACUUAUAUAUAUAUAUAUAUAUAUAUAUAUAUAUAUAGAUAUAUAAGCUCCAACAAGAUUGCCCUAAAUAAUAGAGAAAUGGUUUUUUACUUCUACAAUUUACUCAGAAGGGCCAAUGUUCCUCAAUAUAGAAAAUUCGUGGUGAAAUGUGUGAGUGUGAAAAUUAAACUGUGAUCACAUGGGUUUCUUGUACAAUUUGUUUGCUCUUUGCCAUUAAUUAACUUGUUGUAGCAAAUUAAGACAUAAAAGAAACACCCUUUUUGGUUUCAUCUUCAAGUGCUUACCCUAAAACUUUUCUGCAUGUCCAUAGAUCCAUAACCACCAUAGUUUCCCAUCUGCCCAUUAAUAGCAAUCAUACCAGCUGAAUAAGCAGAAGCAGGUGCAGAAGAAACCCCUAAAAUUCAAAAGACCCAACUUACGAAUAAGAACUAAAAAUCAAGGGAUCAAAAAGGUUAAAGUAGGUCAAUUUGGUACAUUACCUUGACCAAUGUUGGAGAUGUUGGAGUACUUGUUGUUCAUGUUCAUAUACUGAUCCUCAGGCUUCCAAUUAGUACCAUUACCAUUCCCAACAAGCCCUGAACUUUGCAUGGGAACAUGACCAUCCGAAGUGAACUUCUUCAUCUGCUGCCUCUCCCGAGCCUUGUGGUUCUGGAACCAGUAGAAGACGUUCUUUCCCUCGAUCUUUCCGUACUGUCUCAGCUGGAAACGGAUCAUCUGAAUCUGCUCGUUACUUGGGGACCUAACACCCUUGUUGUAGUAAAGAUCAUUGAGGAUUAUUAACUGAUCAUUCGUGGGAGUCCAUCUGGUAAUACUCUGCCUGCUACUCCCAGCUUCAUUGUUGUUUCCUCCGUCCUCAGUUAGUUGCUGUGUCUGUGGUUCCAUUGGUGAUGGGCUGAGAGAAUGAGAGAGAUUGAAGAGUGGUGAUGAUGAUGAGAGAGAAAGGUUUGCUGUUAGGAAAACUGGAGUUGAUGAAAUGAUUUUGGGAUUGGGGAUUGGGUUUAUAAUGUGGAGGGAGAUGUAGGCAUGUGAGAGUUGUGAAACGAAGAGAGGAAAUGAGAACAUAGAAUGAGAGAAAUAUCUGAGAGAGAAGGACUGAAGUUGACAGAGAGGUGUUAAUAGAAGGGGAAGGGACAAAAGAGAGAUGAUCAGAUGAAGCUAGGAAGGAUAUGGUUGGAAUUACUGUGAUGGAAAAGGCAUAUGAUGCACUUUCAAGUUUGAAAUAUAACAAAAAAUAUGAUUGUAUUGUGGUGUGGGCAGGGCAUGAUACGAAGUGAUUUAUUGGAUUGGAAAGAAAAUGAAAGAGGGGGAGAGGCUUCUGAAUGAAUGAAUGGGCAUAAAAAUUAUGGUGGGGGUGUUUUAUCUAACAUUUCAAUUGAGGUCCCAAGAGCUAGCCAGACCCACAGAAAUAUUCUUGUUCUUUACCCUAGCUAGGGUUAUUAAUUGGUCACGGGUUUGCAGAUGUAGGUUCCACUCUGUACUCGAGUCUCUUUCCCAUUAGGGUUUUUAUUUUUCGGUUCUGAUCGAGAAGCCAGGAUAGAUCUUAAGCUGAUCAUCAAAUCUUCACUGUGAAAUUUCAGACUCUACAAUUGGUGGAAUUUGAAUACUGCUAACUUCUAUAUGUGCAGUAGAAUUAAUAAUCUGCUGAGCUAUGUAGCUGGGAAUUAGGUUACUGAUCCCCUUUUGGAAAUUGAAUUAAAGCAAGCAGUUCUAGAUUUUUCAUUUACAGCACAGCUAGCGAUUUGAUAAAAUGCAUGUUUUCGAUCUGUAAUUCUAUGCAUUUUGAAUCGGUGAUCCCUUUUUUCCCCCACAUAUAUUCAAUAGAUCCAUGUAAGCCUCACCAUGAAAGUCUUGUGCCGAUACGUUAACAAGAAUUUUGAAUCAAAUCUAGUUUGAUUUUGAACGAGAAGUUUGGUGUGGCUAACCACGGUACGUCAUUAACACAGUUGGUUUGGUGGGAUUCACCUCCUUUUUUAUUUUGUCAUAUUAUAGUAGUGACCUUAUGGGUCUUCCCUAAUUUCGGUUUUCCUAGUUUUGUUUCGUUGUUAUUUUGUUAUGAGAGGUUUUGGUCUAAUCCCCCUCUCUUGAUAUUUUUCUCUUUUCUUUUUUAAUGCAUAAGAGUGUUAAGGGGUCAUUCCUCUAUCACUCAUCUUUCAGCCAAAAAAAUAAAAAAUUUGAACGAGAAGAUACGAUAAGUUACUUUAGUAAUCAAUGAUUACUUGAAUACAAGACACUCGCAGUUUCAAUUUGAUCUGGGUGUGUUGGAUGUUGGUGAAUUCCCGAGAAUUUAAUAAAAAAUAAGGAAUUGUCAAUUUCUUAGGACUGUUUCCCUCGUUUGGAUUCUUAUCCCAUAUGGAAUUAGCAAUUUCCACGAGAAAAUAAUCAUGGAAUUUGGGAGCUUAAAUUCCCUAUCUACUUGAAUUCCUCACAAAAUAGGUGUCAUUUGUCAAUUCCCUCAGCUGAAGUUAAUCUAAAUACAAAUUCAUGUCAUUUUAAAAUUCUACAUCAUGAAAUCCAAACAAUAGAAUUCUCAAUUAAUGGAAUUUAAAUUCAUGAAAUUGUAAUUCCCAUGAUUUUGAAAUUUCUAUGAAAAUUGAAAUUACUUCAUCCAAACACAACGUAAUGGUUUGUAGACUUGUUGUAUACUAGUAUACAUUCGUGAUCAAUAAACAGAAACUCACUUGUGUAUAGGCUUGAAAGUGUAUAUUGAGUUAUUGACCAUGAAAGUGUGUGUGCGCGCGCGCGCGGGGGUGUUUUUGAGGAGCACUGUAUGUUUUAGGAGAAAAAAAUCAAUCUGUCUGUUAUAGGCCUAGAGCUAUGGGGAAGAAUAUGUGCAUCCCUGCUUCAAAAAAUUUGUUAUCGAGCCUCACAAUUAUAUUACAAUCCUUAAGGCAACCAACUAAAAAUAUCCAUGAUCUUUUGGUAAAAAGUUUAACUCUUGCAAGUGAGAGAUCUUGGACUUGUAUGAAUGCUCCACACUAACAGAGAUAGAAAAGAUGUAAGGAUCGACCGAAUCAAAAAUUCAAUAAUUAAGCUGUGUACUUACAAUUUCUUGAAAAUGCAGGGAUGCACUUACACAUUUUCUCUGCAAGAGUUUUGAGGCUUUGAGAGCCAUGAGACUAGAUGGAACAAGUUAGGAUUAUGAGAGGCAUCACAUAUAUAUGUGUACCAUGCAUACAGAUUGGAUUCAAUUGCAUGGGUGAAAGACUGAAAGCAGAAGUGUGGAAAUUUUGGGGUUUAGGAAACUAUACUGGUAUGUGAGGGCUGGACCAAUUUCAUAUCUAUUUAUCUGAUACAUACUAGUUACAGAUUAAAUGGUUUGGUUUUGAUCAAUUUCAUCUUUAGUAAUUUGCGGAAACUCAAAUGCUUCAGCCUUAACCCUAUAAAUGAUAAAUGCAUUUUUAAAAGGGGGCACAAACUCAAUGUAGGAAGAAGAAAGAAGUAGCAGGAUAGUGAAUGAUAGAUAUAUGAAGGCGACAUAGAAUCAUAGAGAUAGGGCAACCCUAAGUUUAAGAGGUAAAGUACAGAGGUAACAUUCCUUGGCCAGUACUAUACAAUACUUCCAUGAAUGAUAUGGUGUCUGCAGUGAGUGCAGUCCUUUAACCUACGAAGCACGCGUCCCAAAAUAAACGCCAAAGCCAAUAAAUAACAAAUGUGCUUGUCGAUCAUGUAAGAGCAGUACUGUAUAGGAUCAUCAUCGAUCAAAAGCUUCAUCAUUCUUUGCCUUUGUACCAUCCUAAUUCUUAGUCCUUCCAGACCAGCAAUAUAUAUAUAUUUCUGCGUGUAAUAUCCAUAUAUAUAGCACCCACAGCUAUAUGGUCACUGGUCCUUAUUCAAACAACGAACACCCUUUCUAGGUUAUAGUCCUUAUUUUAUUUUUCUCUGCUGGAGAAAAUAGCAUAAUCUGUUGCAUAUAGGUUUCUGCAUGAUCAUGCAAGUGUAUAAAGAUGCAUCUGCCUAUUCUACAUGUAAAAUCUCUUCUUGAAUUCAACCAGAACUUGCAGCAGUAGCCUCAACAUUCCUCCUUCUAGUUAAGCUUUCUCUCUUGAUACUGUUGCACGUACAUCUCCCUCUGUCUUUCUCUCAAUUCAACUUUUGCAGAUUCCAUAAUUUGUUUCAUAUAUGCUGACACUAUCAUCAUGAAGAUGCCUUUCCUUAUCACGCAUUUACAUGGAGAUCUUGGGACUCAGAGUCUCUCUCUCUCUCNNNNNNNNNNNNNNNNNNNNUACGGUACGGUACGGUACGUACGUACGUCGUACUCUCUCUCUCUCUCUCUCUCUCUCUCUCUCUCUCUCUCUCUCUCUCUCUCUCUCUCUCUCUGUCUGACAAGCAAGGCCAAUUAGGUAGCCAAUUAGCCAAGCCCUAUAAAGGCCAAAGGUGCAUGUGGGUUUUUGUUCCUUUGCUCCAUAAUAGUCUCUGUCUUGUUUCUUUGACCAACUUUAUAUAAGACUUGGAUUUAGCAGUGAAGCUCUAUAUAUCUGGAGAAAAUCUUCCCCUUUUAUCCAAAAUCUGGGUUUGCUUACCUCAUAACGGUACACCCCUUUUCUUUCGGGUAAUCAUCAUCUUUUGGCUCUUAUUUUCCUCUCCAUAUCUCCCAAGAUCACAUACAUCCCAAUAUCAUACUCUCUCUCUCUCUCUGGAAUCUACUACUACAGUCUCAUUGUCUUUCUAUCAAGUCUUGGACAGACUUGCAACUGCAGAGAGCUUUACCCAAGCCACAAGUUUUGCCCUUUUUACAACUUAUUUACUACAAGAAUGUGCAUUUUCUCUUAGGAUUGUUAAAACUCCCACACUUCCUGCUGCUGCCCAUGGUAUUACAACCAGCGGGAAUGCGCCAUUGUAAACUUUGGUCGUAGGUUAGAUAAUUCGUGUGUUUGGGAGGAGUGUGUUUCUCCGGAUGCAGUCUUAGCUUUAACCUUUGACUUUGUAAACUCUUGAUGCAUUAGAGGCACCUUUGUUUAGUNNNNNNNNNNNNNNNNNNNNCCACAAACUCUUUGAUACCAAUAGACUAGGAACUAAAGCACAGAGUAGCUAGUCACCUAAUAAUGUAGAAGCACACAGUUGGCUACUUGAGUCAUUAGCUGCCUCACACCAAGUAAUACUGAACACCCGAAGCAGAGACAAGGUCGAGCCACUAUUUCCCUUGCUAUAGCCACCAGCUUCUUCAAGAUUAUAGAACUUCGGCUCUGGUUACUAUUUCUUCAAAAGCAAGAACAUGAACGAAGCACAAUAUUCCAGUGAUCCUGUCUUUUAGCAAAACGUCGUUACUUCCAAAUGUCUAAAUCAUAAAUCUUCCCAAAUUGCUAGUACAGUAAGAAAAUAAAUAAAUUUAUUAAAAAAAAAAGUUUCAAAAUCACAAAUAAUCGAACAAGAUCGAUAGCCAAAAACACUUACAGAUUCAACGGAUUUGAAGCUUUCAGAUCUGAUUCCAGAUGAUUGAAGAAGAAGAAGAAAAACCAGAGAGAGAGAGAGAUAGAGAAGCUAAAAGAAGGUGAAGGUGAGACCUGCUUUGUUAUUAAACGUAAAAUCAGAUCAGUAUGAGAGAAUUUGGGAUAUGUGGUUAACAACUGGAAUUGGAAAAAAGAUCCCAAAUUUCAGUAUUCAUAUCUAUUUUUUCGUUAACAUUCAUAUUCUCAAGCCCCAGUAUGAGAAUUUCAUUUGCCCUUCUCCUACCUUUCAAAUCUAGGGUUCGACUGUUCUUUGGUAGUAUGAGAGAAUUUGAGAUUUAGGAAUUUCAACGUUAAGUAAUUGUCUAAACCUAGAAAUGAACGGCUCAGAUAACAUAUACCAGGAAAAUAGUAUACCAGGGCAAUAGUAUUAUGAUAAUUAAUCAGGGAAAUAGUAUACGGCUCAGAUAAAACAAUCUAUACCGGGGCAAUAGUAUUAUGAUGCAACACAUCUUUAUUGUACAUACCAAAAUCAUAAUCAUAAUCUUAAAUCUCCACAGAAAAUGAAGCCUUUAUUGUACAUACCAAAAUCAUAAUCAGAACUAGAAAAUUGGAGGCACCAGAUAGAAAAGCUACCAUGAGGUAGCCCAAACUAUUGUAGUAGGUUCACUUCUUAUGAGUUAAAAGUGCCGUGAAAAUAGCAUCAGACUUCCCAUAAGCUUGCGGGAAGAAGUGUCCAGCACCUGGUAUCUCAUGGUAGUGAAUCCAUGGAAGUUGUUGCGCAAUGUAUCGUUGCAGAGUAACAGGAACCAUCAGAUCUUCAUCUCCAUGCCACAGAUGAACGGAAGCUUCAUUGUUCGGAAAAGGGUUUUCCAGAUCCAGAGGACUAAACUCCCACGUCCCAAAUCCAACCUUCAAGUCACGGUGAACCGACUCGGCCUCUCCUUGCUGCGACGGCAGGUCCAAAUUAUAUGGUAUCUUUUUGGGAGGAGGCUUUAAGAGGAUUUCCUUGUCCUGUGGAGAAAGCACAUCUAGGCUGCGAGCGAGAACACUUGAAGCAGGAAACCAUUUCUGAGUGUUCCAAAACGAAGUAAGCCAAGGGGUGUAGUGAGAAACACGAAGUGCCUAUUGGUCACGCUGAAACUGUUGGUAGUAGUAUGCAUGAUUACAUAGCUUUGCAGGGAACCCUUUCCACCAGUAAUUAACAACCGGAGCUAAUAGCGCCGCUCCGGCUAGCCUUCCAAGGAUGUACUUGAGGCAACCCCAAACAGGCAAACAGCCUGACCACCCAUGGAGAAACCAACCACAUAGAAUUUGGACCCUAACCCUAGCUUAUCAGCCAGCUCUUGUAUAUCGAAAGCCAAACUCUUGGGAGUUCUGUUUGUAUCAGGAUCGCUCUCUCCAUAACCUGGUCUGUCAAAGGACACCAUGUAGACACCACCCAAGUCUUCAGCGGUUUUGGGAGUUAGGGUUUCCACAGCAAUAGCAGCAUCGUGUCUGCAGCCACCGAAGCCAUGCACGAAGACGAUUUUAUUCUGAGCAUUUUGUUUUGGCACCCGGUGCUCUUGAUAGGCUAGGUGCCUUCCAUCCCUGAGCUUUACUCUCGGUGCUGUAACAGGAGGGCCGUCGGGAGAGCCACAUAUCUUGGGUCGAGGAGAUUGGAUGUUCUGAUAUGCCCAUGCCAGAAACCCUAGAAAAGACACCACUAUUGUUGUCAAAAACAUUCUGAGCUGUUUUUGCUUUGGCGAAAAAUAAAUACGAGAGACAAAAAUUAAUGGAAGAGAUGCUUGUCUUCUCAUUCUCACUAGUUAGGUUUAAAUAGGGAGAAAUUACUUGAAGCAUACACUACCUUUGUUUGAUCAAGAUGACUUGGCGAAUACUUCCCGACGUUACAUGAUUUAAUCACAGUGAAAGUAGGAUAUUCCAAGCCUUUCUUUCUCAUCAAGGUGUGAAUUUCAAUUUAUUUGAAACAUUUUCGGGAAUACAGUUUGUUGCUCUUCGACUACUUCUAGUACUCUUUCUGACUUACCAGCCACGAAAACGAAACAAAUGAAGAAGUAGAGAAGGCCCAACAGAGUUGGGCUCUGGGCUUGAGCUCUUAUCUGAAUAUUGAUCUUGUUGCUAUUUGAAACCACCCAGAUUCUAUAUAAAUCAAAACUAUUGAUUGUUGUGGAAGAAAAUGAAAAUCUAUCUAGACCCCGAUCAUCUAUGUCAACUAUGACAAGUACCACUGUACAAUCUGAAUCAAUCAAUUUCACUUUUUUGAAAUCGGGUCUAAUCUUCGUUUCUUUCUUAUGAUCUUAUCGUAGGAAAAAGAUGAAAGACAAAGCUCACCUAAGCCUAGUGCUUAAUUGAGAUAAACUUAGUGGAUAUUAUGAUUACCAUUGUAGUGGGGUGACACCCUCAACUAAUAACUCUAGAUCACAUGAUAUGAUACGUAGUUAUGUACAGUACAAGUCUAUGUUUUGUAUUAGAAUAUAGAACCUAGCUAGAGUGAGGAGAUAUUGGCUUAAAUUAAGUGAUGAAUGUUUUCAGAAAGUAGCUAGUACAUGCAUUAUGAUCGACCACAUGCAUGUUUCAGAUCAUACGUGUAAGCUAACUAUAAAAAAUAACGCUCUAAAUGUAAACAUAAUGGUAAUCAUAACUACACUGUCACGUAGUUAAAUUAUACGUGUAAAUAUAAUGCUUAACAUAAUGUUUUAGAUCAUACUAACUAUAAAAAAUAACGCUCUAAAUGUAAAUAUAAUGGUAAUCAUAACUACACUGUCACGUAGUUAAAUUAUACGUGUAAACAUAAUGCUUAACAUAAUAUUUUAGAUAUACGUGUAAGCUAACUAUAAAAAAUAAUGCUCUAAAUGUAAACAUAAUCCUCCAAUUCGGCAAUCACUUGUAGCUCGCAAAAUAUCAGGUUGGUAAAAGCCACCAUCCUCCAUUAUGAUAGAACACGCAGAGUUCUUUUCUUCUUGCCCAUAAGUCGAGGAGAAGAAAAUUUGCGUAUAAGACAACGAAGCGAACAGUUCGACAUGAUGUUUGUGGUUGUGGUGGUAUCCCAGCUCUUUAAGCAACCAAACCAAAAGAACACCAUGUGAAGCAUAUGCAGCAGCCACCAAUAUUAUUAUUCAUCAACUUUGAUUUCUGUUUGUAGAGCCCAUAUCUUGAGCGCUACACCUGCAUUAUUGCUCACAUCAAAACACAAGAGACUGGAUUACCCUUACACAGCUUGUUCUCAUCAGUACUGCUCACUACUAUAUAAGAAAGCCUUGAGAGCUUAAUUUGGAAGAGCAUCAAGCAAAACCAAGUAGCUAGUAAACUUUAAACACAAACACUCAUCACUGCCAGCACAUUCAAGACUCCAGAGGAGUACGUUAUAACAGAUCGAUGGAGAGCUCCACUGCCACUACCAUUUCCCGGAGAGCCAUGAUGAACGGUGGAGGUUCGCCGCGGUGUCCUGCGGGUCGCCCUAUUCCGAAGAGAGGUCAAGUGAAAAUGGGGAUAGUGGUGGGAUUGGCUAACACAGUUGCUUCCAUCUUCACUCCUCAGCGUCCGUCCAUGUACAAGCAGCAAUAUUCGACUAAGUCCUAAUUUAGGACUCGGAUUUUAGGAAGCAGUAGUACUGCAUGCAGAGCUUUUGCCUCUAAAUUUUCCCUCUUUGGAAAAUUCGAGCCUCAUGUUCUGGAUCUAAAAGUUUGUACAUUGUAGAUUUCUGCAUCAAAUAUGAAAUGGGAUUACAUAUUUAUCUUUUGUUCACAAUCUGGAUGGGAUGAGUGAAAUCUUAAUCAAGAAGCAGGAACCUUCAAGCUAGCUACUAAACUCUAGUAUCCCACUGCUUAAUUAAUUAGAUUCGAAUCUAUGCCUUUCUAACACAAUCAAACAUAAUUGAACGUACAUCUGUAUAUAUAUUGUCCAGCUAUAGAUCAUAGGAGGAUGUAUGCAUACGUGAACCUUAGUAGUCCUUUUCAGUACGUACAAGAUAUGUUCAGUGAAUGCUGCCAUGCUGGUACCACAUGUCUACAUGGUUUUGCCCUUCAGAAUUAAUUAAUAAGAUCUUUCAAACAAUAUCGUGAUAAUGAUAUGUUUAAGAAUAUAUGUGACACUACAUAUAUAUUUGGGAUCACAUAGAGAAGUCAUCAAUUGUGAUGGAAUCUGGUUUGGUAGACGUUAGAAGGAACUGAUCUCCACGCAGCCAGCUAGAGUUGUUACAGUGGGCUUGUGAUCAUCCUCAAGUUGCAGACGUUGAAAGCGAGCAUCGAAGUAAGGAUCGGAGAGGAGACUCAACCAAUGCUUCGACACACACUUACACUAAAAACCCGAGGGAUUUCAACCGAUUCAACGUCGGCGAGAUCAUCUAUAUACAUCACUCGUGAAAACUAGGGCAGCCUGCGGUUGAUCUUCAUAUAUAUAAAUUAUCAGAUCUCUGCCAUAGUGCCAUAUAUAAUCGCAGAUAGGAAAGCAGACUAGAGGUUUGGUAAAGCCAUUGUAACAAUUCAGAGGAAUCCCAUUUCUAUAUAUUCACAGGUUAUUGGUCCAGACAAUCGUAUCUAAAAUAAAGUUAAACAUACUAUAUUGCAUGAUAGAACACACAAUAUUGUAAAUGAUCGACAAAUCUAGUUCUUUUUCUUUUGCCAAUGAGAUGAACUUUUUGUCUAUAGGACAGGGAAUCAAACAGUGCAACAUGAUAUUUGUGGUAGUGGUGGUAUCCCAGCUCUUUUAACUAAAACCCAACUGAAAUCCCAUGUGAACCAUAUGCACCACUUUUUCAUCUCCAUUAUUUUGCUACUUUGCUUACAUCAACACGGAUGAGACUGAACUACCCUUACACAAUUUAUGCUCGAUCAUUCCACCCAGUACUACUAUAUAAGAAGCGCUUUGAGCUUUGGAUGAGCACACUGCAAAACCAAGUUCUAAACUUUCAUCACAAACACUAGCUUGCAACACAUUAAAGGGUGCAGAGAAUUACUUAUCAGAGAUGGAGAGUUCCACAGCCAAUGCCACUUCCAGGAGAAUGGUGAACGCCGGAGACUUUUCGCCUAUUCCGAAGAGGGGUCAAGUGAAGAUAGGGAUAGUGGUAGGAUUAGCAAACUCAGUUGCUUCCAUCUUCACUCCUCAGCGUCCAUCAAUGUACAAGCAGCAUUCUUCUAGUUAACUCGUAACUAUUGGGAAUAGUACGUGCUUGUGUUGUGAAGAUGCCUAGCCGCAGAUAGCUUUUGCCUCUUGAUUUUCCAUUCUUUUUUAUUUCGGAAAAGAUUUGAGCUUCAUGUACUGGAUCUUAAAGAGUUUGUAUAUUGUAGAUUUUUGCAUCAGAUAUGAAAUGGAGUCUGUAUUCUAUCUCUUUUGUUCACAACUUGGCUAGGAUCGGUACUCAAUCUCAAUUAAUUAACCUCUACGAUUAAGAAGCAUUUCAAGCUAAUUAAUUGAAACUGGAACCCCAAAAGAACAAGUUUAUCAAAUUAAAGUCGUUUGUCGUCUCAAAUCGGCCGUCACAUAGGAGCUAAUAUUGCCUACUCGACUAGCUAGGCAUUGGGUAGAAUAUGCAAUACUGUCAAAGGCAAAAGAACACUGUAAACUCGAUCAGAGAACUUUCUAUAAUUUGUAUGCAAGUAAUGUAACAGAGGGAGCGUAGUCAUUGUUUGAGCCCAGUGGGUAUUUUGGUCCAAGACUCGGGGUACGUUUUAGAUAACAUUUGGGCCAGUACCUGUGGCCCUUUUUUAAUGCGAAGCCCACGAAGGGUGGCGAGGUCUGGCAACACGCGAGCUGGAGUUUUGCAAGGAUUCUGAUACCCCGCGGGAUUCGAUGUCCUCGCGAGGUCCUUUGUUUCAGUUCGUGUAGGAUUUUGCAGUGCAUGGUGAGGUAGAGUUGGAAAUGGACUGUAGUACUCCGCGGGAUAGGAUCGCUUAGUGUUCGAGUUCGCGUACGACGCUACAGUGAGAUGAUGCGGAGCGGUGAGCGAGACCUAGGCGAGAUCUGUUCUGGACAUGUGUUGCAUGGACCGCGCGGCUCGCGAGCUGGUCCUAUCCUUGUGGAAUUCUAAUUGGUGAGUCCGAGUGGGUUGUGAUUAGGUCUCUGCGAAUUGCUUGCGGAUCGCUAUAUAAAGGAGUUCGAGCAGACCUUCUAACACACACAAUCAAAUCAUACAAAACAAUUACAAAUCCUCGAGCAUCCUCAAAACCCUAAGUUCUAAGUGCACUUCGCCUUAGUUCUCAGACCCCUCCCUGAUUCGCCUUUCUCCCUAUUUGUUGCUCUGCUCGCUCUAACAGUGAGUAUCGAUUCACAAGUGACAAGAGGUUUUACUCGUAAUCCCUCGUCCGCGAGGUGGCACCGGUAACCCCUUCUUCGCUUGUUUAGAAGUCUAGCCGCAGCGCAUUUCUUUCCUCGUCCACGAGGUGGCACGCCCCGCAAUCUCCUUUUUAACUUUUGAGUCACCGGAGUUCCGACUCUGCCCCUGUUAAGACGCGUGGCCAAAACAGUCAUCAUCAGACAUUCAGACUCAUGGACCAAUGUCCACACGACAUUGAUCAAUAUAUUCAAGCCUCACCGUCCAAACUGAUGGGAGAGACUAGUACGAGUUAAUGUUGAUCACAUCAUUAUGUUUCAUAAAAGGCAUAAAUGGCCUUUUAUUUAAUAUCAUCAACCAAACCCUAAUAUCAUAAUCCCACACUGCUUAGAUCCGAAUCUAUGCCUAUUUAACACCAUCAAACAUAAUUUUCAACAUGUGUAGAUCUUGGGAAGAAGUACAUGCAUGAACCUCAUUAGUCCUUUUCAGUACAAUUUAAAUUCAAUGAAUGUUGGUUUCAUCAUGUACCUUUGAAAUUAUAACAUAUGGUCCUAACUAAUUAUUCAAUUCAAAUAAAACUUUCUGAUUGUGAAGUGUUUUAAGAUCACACUCUUUCUCAUGUUUUUCUUUAAAUUAAUUCCCGUCCUCCACUCUCNGAAAUACAGCCAUAUAUAUAUAUAUAUAUAUAUAUAUAUAUAUAUAUAUANNNNNNNNNNNNNNNNNNNNUAAAGUAAGUCACUCCCUUCACUAAACAAAGAAAGGUUCUUCUAAACAGAGAUUACAAGAUCUUCUAAGAUUAGUGAAGGCUAUUUGAGUUUGUUCACCUUAAGUAUAAAUUAAGUAUAUAAUUGCAUGAAAUAUCCCAACUUUUACUAAUCACAUUGGAACAUUGGCUCAUAAAGAAUUGGCUUCUUUGAUCAAAAUAAUUGGCUUCUUUUUUGUAGUGGGAUGGAGCUUUAUGAGCAUGUGACUAAUUAGGUGGAUUUGUUCAUACUUCAUAGCAUGUAGGAACCAAGAAUUUAAAAGGGUUAAAACUGCCCUACUUCAGUUCUUUAACUUGAUUAACUAAACAUCUCUUAUAAUUAGGUGUGCUAAUCAUCUGUUUGUUUAUAAAUACAUAAACUAGUAUGCCUUCAGAUACCAAAUUAACCCUAGCUAGUUUGAUAUAUAGCUGAUAGUUUUAUUAGACCAGUCUAGAAAUGUGAUGUACUAAUGAAAUUGUAGCAAGUAAACUCAACAGCUGGCUAGCUAGGUCAAUAAUCAAAAUUGAAUUGCCAACUGAAAAUCAAAUUCCAUGAGCAAAGACUUGAGAAUGAGACUGUUUUUCCUUUCUCAUUACUUUUUGAACCCCUUUCUCAUAUUUGGUUAGUGUAAUUGAUUAACUUAAUUGUGCCCUAUGUGCUGCAUAUGAACCAUGCUCCCUCAAUAAUUGCACACACAUCUAUUAUUAAACUAAGUAUCAGGUUCAAUUAGCAGCCUUAAUUUUGUUCAUAAUCUAAAUCAUUAGAUACGAUUUGUUCCCUUAAACACAAUCUGACAUGAUAAAUUAUAAUACUGUGUGCAUUAGGCUCAUACAUGAAAGUACAAUGAAUCAAGGUGCUUCCUCUAUCAGAGUCGGUGAAUGGUAUUGGCAUUGCUCCAUAAUUGUACUUGAUGAGAAUAAUAUGAACGAUGGGAUAAACACAAACUUAGAUAACUAGCAUUUCAUGUCAAUAAUUUUUCUUCUAUUCUUAUACUUGUUUUCUAACACAUAAGAAAAUGCGAUACGCUAAUAAUAUAGAAGAUUAAAUUAGUUCUGUAAAAUUAUUAGAAGAUAAGAACACUAGCUAAUUGUCUAUAAGUUCGAUAAAAAAUCAUUGUAUAGUUAAUUUAACAAAUCAAACAUAGAAAUGAAUGAUUUUAGAUCGUCGAAGUAAAACAAUAAAUUCAAACUUCUUAUCUCUCUAUCACAUCAUAUCAAUUUUAGAGAAGACGUGGGCAUGAAGAAAGAAAGAAACAAAGAAGGUUUGGUCCAUGCCAGAUCCAGAGCUAGCUUUGGCCCUUUGGGAAAAAGAUGCGCUAACAAACAAAAGAGCUGCCUCUGGGAAUCUGGAUAGGAGUGCUCAGUCAAUGAGUAAGAUAGUUCUUGUUAUAAGAACCAAUUUGACCACGUGCUUAAUUUGGUAUAGUUAUCCCACUAACAAUUUUCAUGAUUAAAAGUUGUUGCGGUUAUUGUUGGGAGAGUGACUUUCCAAGGUCAAGUCGCCCUGAAGAUAAGCUUUUCCGGUUGCGAAUUCAAGGUGAAAGCCUUGGCAUUUUAUAAUGGAAACCCGACAAGACCCACAGUGUUCACAUAGAACGUGAACUUUGGGAGAGUCAAGAUUGUCUUGUCAAACAAAAAAAUUUGCAGUCAAAUUCUACGAGCAAGAUUAACGUUAAAAAACGAUGAGGGUGGUCAGAGUCUUUGAGCACUAUAUAAAGCACGAGGAAGAUGACCAAAAUCACAAACUCAAACACAGCUUCAAGUUUCAAGCUUUUCUUCUUCCUCUCUCUCUCUCUCUCUCUUAGUUUCGGUGACUUGUUUUGGAUAUCAAAGCAAACCCAGAAGCAAAAACUAGAUGGAAGGUGCAAGGAGUGCUAUGAUCAACGGUGGGAACUUGUCUCAGAGGAUUUCUGGCCGUCUGAUCCCCAAGAGGGGUCAGGUGAAGAUGGCCAUAGUUGGGAUUCUGCUUCACUCUGUUUCUUCUAUGUUCUCUCACCGUCGUGGUGGUGCUGAUGCUCCUCAUCAUUUCUCUUAGAUGUUUUGUCUGUGUGGGGAUUUCUAGAUGAGUGGUUGCAGAGUUUGAGCUUCUGUUUUGUGCAUCAAAGGUUGUACAAAGUUCUAAACUUUCAUCACAAACACUAGCUUACUACACAUUAAAGGGUGCAGAGAAUUACUUAUCAGAGAUGGAGAGUUCCACAGCCAAUGCCACUUCCGGGAGAAUGGUGAACGCCGGAGACUUUUCGCGUCGGUGUCAUGCGCGGCGCCCUAUUCCGAAGAGGGGUCAAGUGAAGAUAGGGAUAGUGGUAGGAUUGGCAAACUCAGUUGCUUCUAUCUUCACUCCUCAGCGUUGAUCCAUGAACAAGCAGCAUUCUUCUAGUUAACUCGUAACUUGUGAAGAUGCCUAGCUGCAGAUAGCUUUUGCCUCUUGAUUUUCCCUUCUUGUUUUUUUUUUCGGAAAAGAUUUGAGCUUCAUGUACUGGAUCUUAAAGAGUUUGUAUAUUGUAGAUUUUUGCAUCAGAUAUGAAAUGGAGUUCGUAUUCUAUCUCUUUUGUUCACAACUUGGCUCGGAUCGGUAUUCAAUCUCAAUUAAUUAACAUCUAGGAUUAAGAAGCAUUUCAAGCUAAUUGAAACCCGAACCCCAAAAGAACAAAUUUAUCAAAUUAAAGUAACGCGUUGUCGCCCCAAAUGGACAGUCACAUAGGAGCUAAUAUCGCGCCUACCUGACUAGGCAUUGGGCAGAACAUGUAAUACUGUCAAAGGCAAAGGAAACACCAUAAACUUAAGAAAAAUUUCUAUAAUUUGUAUGUAAGAGAGGGAGCGUAGUCAUCAUCAGACUCAUGAACCGAUUUCCACACUACGUUGAUCGAUAUAUUCAAGCCUCAUAAUGACCUUUAUUUUAGGGAUAAUGACCUAAUGCACAAAAACAACAAAAUUAAAACCCACUUGAAUGAAAAUCUGUUUUUAUGCCCAUUUCAAUUAAUAUUACACAAAUAAUUAUUAUACUCUCUCAAUUACCUUUUCUGAUCUCUCUUUUUACCCACACAAACCUCAUCCUUCUCUCUCUCUCUCUNNNNNNNNNNNNNNNNNNNNACCACACUCUCUCUCUCUCUCUCUCUCUCUCUCUCUCUCUCUCUCUCUCUCUCUCUCAUCCACGAGCACAAGGAACACAACGUCUCAAUUCCGUCAGAUCCAUGAUGACCACGACGACGAGGACGUCUCUCAGUUCCGGUGCGGCAACAUCCGGAUUCAUAUCUCAUGUCGGCCGACGAUGACGCAAUCAUAGAUCGAACGCUCAGUUUUGAGCGAUGCGAGCGAAUAAGAAGCCGGAGAUGACCGGGUCGGAGGUCUUCAAAACAAAGCCUGCAUUCAGAUCUCUACAAAAGCAGAGAAUCAAACUUCGACGUUUGAUUCCUUCCCAGAGACUGAGACCUCGUCGCUCGUCGCUCUGGCGCUCUACGCUCGCCAGUCAUUGCUCAACGCUCGGCCUAACUGAAGCAGAUCUGGUCCUGAGCCUCCUCCCAAGCGCUGACGACAAAUGUAGUAGUGAUUUUUUGUUGUUAAACUACUCUCUCUCUCUCUCUGUGGAAACUACUCUCUCCCAUCAAGCAUCGCCGACGAUGACGUCGGUCGAGAUCGAGGACGCAUCUCGACAAUGACGCACCACUGCUAUGGCCGUAGUCGAGCCUAUGCAUGAUCUUGUGGUCGUCCACAAUUUUUACGAUGAAGAUAGAGACAAGGUGAUAUCUUUUGAUAUAUUUCUUCUUAUUGGUCAGUAAACUGUUUAUUAGAAGUUUAUUGCCUUCCAGUAAAAGUUUACUGCCCCCAGUAAAAUCCAGUAGAAGUUUACUGCUUUCCCAGUAGAAGUUUACUACCUCCUAACAAAACAUUUUUCAUCAUUACUGCCUCUCAAUAAGGUUUUAUUGACCUUAGUAGAAGUUUACUGUCCCUCAGUAAAAUCUCAGUAGAAGUUUACUGCUCCCCGGUAGAAGUUUAAUAUCUCCCAGUAAAAUAUUUUUCAUCAUUACUACCCUUCAAUAAGGUUUUAUUGACCUCAGAGAAAUUUACCGUAUUUAAGUAAAAAUUACUUGAAGAGAGGUUGAGGGGAUGGAACUGAAGCCAAAUUAACCUACUAUGUGUAUAAUCUCACCAAGAUUCAUAUGAAGAAUUAUCAUCAACCAAACCCUAAUAUCAUAAUCCCACUGCAUAUAGAUUCCCACCAUGAUCAAACAUAAUUUUUAACAUGUGUACUGUUCUUACUUCUUAGAUCUUAGGAAGAAGUACAUGCAUGAACCUCAUCAUUAGUCCUUUUCAGUACAAUUUUUAAAUUCAAUGAAUGUUGGUUUCAUCAUGUACCUUUGAAAUUAUAACAUAUGGUCCUAACUAAUUAUACAAUUCAAAUAAAACUUUCGGAUUGUGAAAUGUUUUAAGAUCACACUCUUUCUCAUGAUUUUCUUGAACUUUAUUCCUGUCCUCCACUCUCAGAAAAUAACAGCCAUAUAUUAAGGUUUCUCUAAUAAAGUAAGUCACUCCCUUCACUAAACAAAGAAAGGUUCUUCUAAACAAAGAUUACAAUAUCUUCUAAGAUUAGUGAAGGCUAUUUGAUUUUGUUCACCUUAAGUAUAAAAUAUAUAAUUGCAUGAAAUAUCCCAACUUUUACUAAUCACAUUGGAACAUUGGCUCAUAGAGAAUUGGCUUCUUUUCUGUAGUGGGAGCUUUAUGAGCAUGUGACUGAUUAGGUGGACUUGUUCAUAGCAUGUAGGAACCAAGAAUUUAAAAGGGUUAAAAUUGCCCUACUUAAGUUCUUUAACUUGAUUAACUAAACAUCUCUUAUAAUUAGGUGUGUUAAUCAUCUGUUUGUUUAUAAAUAUAUAAACAAGUAUGCCUUCAGAUACCAAACCCUAGCUAGUAGCUAGAUAUAUAGCUGAUAGUUUUGUUAAACCAGUCUAGAAAUGUGAUGUACUAAUGAAAUUGUAGCAAGUAAACUCAACAGCUGGCUAGCUAGGUCAAUAAUCAAAAUUGAAUUGCCAACUGAAAAUCAAAUUCUAUGAGCAAAGACUUGAGAAUGAGACUGUUUUUCCUUUCUCAUAACUCUUUGAACCCCUUUCUCAUAUUUGGUUAGUGUAACUGAUUAACUUAAUUGUGCCCUAUGUGCUGCAUAUGAACUAUAUGUGCUCCCUCUAUAAUUGCACACACAUCUAUUAUUAAACUAAGUAUCAGGUUCAAUUGGCAGCCUUAAUUUUGUUCAUAAUCUAAAUCAUUAGAUACGAUUUGUUGCCUUAAACACAAUCUGACAUGAUUAAUUAUAAUACUGUGUGCAUUAGGCUCAUACAUGAAAGUACAGUGAAUCAAGGUGCUUCCUCUAUCAGAUUCAGUGAAUGUAUUGGCAUUGCUCCAUAAUUGUACUUGAGAAUAAUAUAUAUGAACGACGGGAUAAACACAGACUCAGAUAACUAGCAUUUCAUGUCAAUAAUUUGUCUUCUAUUCUUGUACUUGUUUUCUAACACAUAAGAAAAUUAGAUACUCUAAUAAUGUAGAAGAUUAAUUUAGUUCCGUACAAAUUAUUAGAAGAUAAGAACACUAGCUGAUUGUCUAUAAGUUCGAUACAAAAUCAUCGUAUAGUUAAUUUGACACAUCAAACAUAAAAAUGAACAAUUUUAGAUCGUCGAAACUAGAUCUCGUGUACUUACUCAAAGUAGAAAAACAAUAAAUUCCAUUUUUUAUCUCUCUAUCAUAAAACUCGACUUCAGUGACAAAGACCGGUCACAUCGUAUCAAUCAUAAAAAUGAACAAUUUUAGAUAGUCGAAACUAAAUCACGUGUACCCGCUCAUAGUAGAAAAACAAUAAAUUCCACUUCCUAUCUCUCUAUCACAUCAUAUCAAUUUUAGAGAAGACGUGGGCAUGAAGAAAGAAAGAAACAAAGAAGGUUGGGUCCAUGCCAGAUGCAGAGCUAGCUUUGGCUCUAUGGGAAAAAGAUGCGCUAACAAACAAAAGAUCAGCUGCCUCUGGGAAUCUGGAUAGUAGUGCUCAGUCAAUGAGUAAGAUAGCUCUUGUUAUAAGAACCAAUUUGACCUCGUGCUUAAUUUGUUAUAGUUAUCCCACUAGCAAUUUUCAUGAUUAAAAGUUGUUGCGGUUCUUGUUGGGAGAGUGACUUUUCAAGGUCAAGUCGCCGUGAAGAUAAGCUUUUCCGGUUGCGAAUUCAAGUUGAAAGCUUUGGCCGUUUUGGCUUUUUAUAAUGGAAACCCGACAAGACCCACAGUGUUCACAUUGAACGUGACCAAACUUGGGGGAGUCAAGAUUGUCUUGUUUUCAAACAAAAAAAUUUGCAGUCAAAUUCUACGAGCAAGAUUAACGUUAAAAAACGAUGAGGGUGGUCAGGGUCUUUGAGCCUAUAUAAAGCACGAGGAAGAUGACCAAGAAUCACAAACUCAAACACAGCUUCAAGUUUCAAGCUUUUCUUCUUCCUCUCUCUCUCUCUCUUAGUUUCAGUGACUUGUUUUGGAUAUCAAAGCAAACCCAGAAGCAAAAACUAGAUGGAAGGUGCAAGGAGUGCUAUGAUCAACGGUGGGAACUUGUCUCAGAGGAUCUCUGGCCGUCUGAUCCCCAAGAGGGGUCAGGUGAAGAUGGCCAUAGUUGGGAUUCUGCUUCACUCUGUUUCUUCUAUGUUCUCUCACCGUCGUGGUGGUGCUGAUGCUCGUCAUCUCUCUUAGCUGUUUUGUCUGUGUGGGGAUUUCUAGAUGAGUGGUUGCAGAGUUUGAGCUUUUGUUUUGUGCAUCAAAGGUUGUACAAAGUUUUGUAGUUUACAGAUUAGUGAAUUGUAGUUGGUUAUCUUUGGUUUUGAUCUAGUAUUUCGAUCAACAAUCUCGAUUGUCUCUAUGUAACUUCCAAAAUCAAAGAGUGAAUCUUUAGACUGAAAUUCAUGUGGGUUUUACUAUUUAGCGCAUCAUUUGUUGCACAAGAAGCAUUUAACUGGCAUUGUGAUCUUUAAAUCUAAACAAAAUGGCACCCAAUUCCACAUAGGGAGAACAAAGUUGAAGAAAGCCUAAAUCCAACUCAAGAGACUUGGCCUUCUAACAUGUAUAUAAGUAUAAGCCUUGGAAGAUUAGUUGGGAAAGGAAUAAGUAGUUGUGUUGCUUCAACCUAUUCUUGAGUUGUCUCUGCCAAACACAAGCGUGGUAGCCCAGUUCACAGCAACAUAGAACCUGUUCCUCCAACUUACAACCCGGGUAAGAUAAGCAGAGCGCCAGAUGAACCAGCUAACAAAUCCAGCAUGGGAUAUGCCCUUUGAAUCCUGCAACAAAAUUGUAGUUAGAAGUUUAAUUGAAAGCCUAGUUUUUGGUUUUGAAGCACAUUCAUCAUCGUUUAGAGUAACAGUUUUGAUGAACACUGACCUUGGAUUUGCGCAGAUCAACGAGUGCCUUAUAACUCCCAACGGAUGCCAUGCUUCCGAGGUGCUUGUAGACAAAAGGUUCUCCCAGAGAGAUAUCUUUUGCACUCAUGGCCUUACCUGCCUCCUUCCCAAUCCUGUUAAACAACUCCACCAGAAAUUUUCCUUGCCUUUCUGCCACCUAUUUCAGACAAUGUGAAAUGAAUUGUAAUUAGGAGUUUGAAAAUAUACAGUCUUGAACUUGUUGAGCACUGAGCGAAAGAAAUGCCAGAACAAUAACAAUGUCACCCCAAGCAGUUAGAUUUUGUUUUUCCAUUUUCAUAGGGAACAAAAAGUAGAGCUUCUCAACCAGAUAUGAAAAUCCAAGAUGGUCUUGCAGUUGCCUCCAUCUGUUUUAUCAGGCUUUUGACAGUAGCAAGACAGAUAGCACAGACAUAUAACAAUCUUGCUAGCAAUGCAUUAUUCGUAGAGCACAAAGCUGGUUCUAACCUGAGCUAAAGCUGGAAGCACUGGCAUCCCAGUCUCUUCAAGAAAACCUGCGCAAUCUCCAAGUGCAAACACAUCUUCCACAGAAGGAACUCGCAUCCACCCAUCGACACCAACCCUGCAUCAGUCAAUAGUAAUUGUUAAAGAUCGUUAAUCCAACAGAAUUCAGUUGUCCACCAAUGAAGACAAGAUAAGAGAAAGAUAUGCUGGUGCAUAUACCUUCCACCAGGGGACUUGGGAAGAUUAAGUGAUUUCACAAACUGUGAGGGACCAACCCCAGUAGACCAGACCAAAAGGCCAUAUGGAACAUCAGUUCCAUCAUUAAGAACUAUCUUCUUGGCAUGCACCUCUUUCACAACACCUCGCAUAAGGUUAACACCACACUAGCGCAAAAAGUUCAUAUUUCAUAUUAGGUCUCCAAACUAACAAAAAAUGUCAACCAGGAAACUGAAUGCAAAUGAACUAACCUUGGUCAGGUGGUUCGUUGCGUACUGCCUCAAUCCAACAUCAAAGGAUGACAGUAUUUCAUUUGCCUGUUCCAGUAAAUCACAUAAUUAUGAUCAGUGACAAAAUAAUUUUUUCUUGGUAAAAAGUCAUAUAUAGGAGUGAAUGAGUAACAAGUACCUCAAUGAGGGUGACUUUGAUGUAAUCCUUAACAUGAGUAUACCGUUCACGGACAUCUUUCAUGAUGAAAUCACUCAAUUCGCCACUGAACUCCACCCCGGUAGGGCCACCUCCAAUAACAACACAAUGCAGGAGGCGUUUCCUUUCUUCCUCAGAUAUGCCUGAAAAUGAAUGUGAUAAGAUGAUUUAGAGAGUAAAUCCAAUGUUUGACAUUUUUAUGUAGAGAUUGAGGAGGCUCACCUGGAUUUUCAGAGAGCAUCAAGUUCAAGAGAAGCUUCUUUCUAAUUUCUUGGGCAUGAUACACUUCUCGGAGGAAAAAUGCAUGCUCCGCAACACCUUUGAUACCAAAUGUCAAGGGCUCAGAUCCAGCUGCUAUGACAAGCUUGUCAUAGGCAACUCUGAAUCUGUAAGGAUCACUAGGCAAAUCACCAUGGCCGACUGUCUCACAGUACACCUAUAUGAAAUACGAAGAUCAAGUUUAUCUGCUGCUAUGACCAAUCAACAGAGAAGCUGUUAUUCCAUCUUCCUUAUUGUACAGUCUAAAUAUUAAUAAUGUUCCAUGGAAAAAAGUAAAUUGUCCAUUUUGAAAAAAUCAGCUUCUGAUUUCAGAUCAAACUUCAACUUGAAGAACAUACAUCUUGUCUCAAAUUGAGCCUAGUAUGUAUUACUUCACUAGAACUCCAUUAGGAGAGACUUUUGACAUCAGAACUUAUAUUGUUACUUCAUUUCAAAACCCGAUAUCUGAGUCAGAUUUACAGCACCAUUAAAUCAUGAAAGAAAUACAUGGGGAACAUCAUUGUGUUAAUGAAAUUAGUGAGAAAAUAAUCUUGAAUUACAUGCUAUUUACGACACUGCACAGAUAAACCUGAAACCAAAAUUUUGAUGAACAAAUCUUGACUAGACAAAGUAAGAAUAGAAUUUGAUUACCUCAUGUUUCUGUGUGUCAAUACUAAAGCAAUUAGCCAGAUAGAAGUAUGAAUUGGGAUUCGUUGCUAAUGCAGACUGUAUACGACUGACAGGUUCAGCAACUGAACGGAAUUCCAAAGUACCAACACAAGUUGAAGGAAGCAAAGGAGUAAAAACCAUGUGAUUACGCGGAGAUAUGCAAACAACAUCAUAAAUCUUGGUGUCUAGUCCCUUAAGGAAUCGACAGGCAGCCCAGCCAGUACCAAGGACAACCACUCUUGGCUUUUCACCUGGCUUAGUUGCCUGUAGUCCUGGAUACUUGGGAUCAUUACACUCUGAAUCAGACUCCUCAACAAUAAUUUCGGCAGAAGGAUAUUUAUAACUUGGGGUUGUCCUUAGUCCCCUGCUCCAAUAGCUACUGUGAUUCACCUUUGGAAUGCUGGAAAGGUAUGAGAAAUUUCUGUUUCUGGCAUCGUUCUCAAGCGAAGGUAAGGAACAAUAUUUGCGUGUGGAUGCUCCCUCAGAGAACAUAUCCUUCUCACUUCUGUGACCACCAUAGGCACCUCCAGACCUUCUGUAGCUGCUCCUAGCAGUCCUAGCAAUCCUUUCAAAUGCCAUUGUGAGAGUAUCAGUCCCUCAAUCAAGACUUAUAUGUACUCUCUGAACUAUCUAAACGGAAUCAAAUUCUUGGUUGCUCAACCUGUGGAAUUGAACAGUAGACAAAGAAGUGAGCAAUGAGAAUAGUAAACAGAGAGGUUAACAUUUGAUGGCACACAUAUUUAUAGGUAGCUGUAUGUACCACUCCAAAAAAUGUGGAGAGGUCAUGACACUAGGCAGGACAAAUUAAGAUCUAGUCCAUUCUAAAACAAAGCAAGUUCAUAAUGGACAACGAUUGCUUCCAAGAUUAAUUGACAAGAAAACAAAAACCAACAUAGCUUUGGUCAUCAGUCGAUGGCAGAAACAAAGAGAAAGCUCUUGUAAAUUUAGCAGCUAAUAAAAAGCUAAAAAUGACAGUAUCUUUUUACUUCUACAUUGCCAAAGGCACAUAAUAAUCGACAAACCCAACUCAUCAUUCUUUCUACUACAGUGAUUAUUAUGUCAAAUUUAGAAUCUCAGCCAUCACAAUCAUGAAUACUCUAAUGUAUAAAGCUAGGCUCAAUUAAAUGGCAACAACCAAAAUAUCUAAGCAGAAAGCUCUCUGCUUUAUAUGAAAAAUCAACAUGAAAGACAGAAAUUGGUAAACCCAGAACAAGAAAAGAACUUUCAAGAUCAAAGACCAAUCUGCAGUAGAAAAAACCCAGAUCUUAUACACACCCAAUAAAAAGAAGCAGAAAAUGCAUACAAAAUGAGGAAUACAAAACCAUUGAAAAGCAAUGGAACAUGAACAUAUAACACCAAUAAAAAUGUGAUCUUUAUGAAUAAAAAAGUUAUCAUUAUGAAGCUGAAGGGUUUAGAAGAUUUACUGGGGUUUUGGUUUACACAGAGCUGCGUGAUCUCCAAGAUUAUGGGAGUGUAGCUUUUUUUAAUCCAAAUGUGAAAUGCCAACAGAUCGCUGAAGACUUGGUGUUUGUAAAAAAAAAAUUGAGAAUUGCAAAAAUGGUGAGAGUGGGGAGUUGAAAGGAGCCAACUUGGGGAGCAAGAAAGUUGGUUUGUUGAGAUUUGAGAAGUGCUUUUUGAUCAAGUAGUGGUCAAAAAAAGUUGGUGAUGAUAAAAAAAAAAACUGGAAGAGAAAAUUACAAAGGGUGUGUGUGUUGGUUCUGUUUGUGUGGGAAGGAAGUUCAAGCAUCAAGCAUAUGCCUUGUCUGGCAUUUUGGUAAAUCAGAGUUGUCUGAAAAGAGAACACAGAGCAGGCUUGGCAAUUGCAGUGUCGUUUUUGUGUGGUUGAAUCAGUAAAACAGGUUUUUGAAUUAGCUGCAGCCUCCACCUGUAUGUGUGUAAGACCUGUUUGGCUCCCUUAAACCCUGAAGCUCUCCCCUAAAACCCUCCUAAAACCCUAGUCAAUGGUGAAUGAGACAAAGAGUGAAGAUUUGCCAAAUAUCUAGUAGGCGGCUGUAAUUUCAUUCCAUUUUCAUUUCAUUCGCAUUUAUGAUCAAUUAUUUCCUAUUUUGGGGACUCAAUGAGUUUUGGACUGAGUUUGGUCAGAAAAUUUAGAGAUGGGCCUACGUGUCUGAUCCAGGUCUUUUGUGUCACAUCCAAAUGACUUCAGCAGCUACAUUGAGUUUGUUUUGCUUGUCAAAUUACGUUUGAGAAACUCAAACAUGCUUUUGCUUUUGCAAUGUUUGUUUGAUCGGCAAGAUAAUUCUUUUAAGGAUUAGGCAACUUGUUAGUGACGAUAUUAAACCAAAAAAAAA
rnacentral:lncRNA from 1 species